rnacentral:lncRNA from 1 species
CAGAUUUAAUUUUGUGAUUUUUAGAGAUCGGGAACACCUCAAACGAAGUUGUCAAGUUACUCCGCAGUUUUUCGGGUUUUCUGUUUUCAGCAAUUUUUAUUGAUUCUUAGCUGUAGGUUUUCAUUUGUUUGCCUUUAUUUUUCCUUUACACUAUCUAACACCUUCUUGUUUCUUGUGUUAGUAGGAUUUUUAAAGUGUGCACAAUUCUUCCUCGGUGCAACACAAAUCAGUUGGUGUCUCGUCCGUUUUUGGCAUCCUAGUGCAAAUUAGAAUUCUUUGGUAGUUUGGUUCACACUCUCUAAUUGAUAUAAACUCUGAUAAAUAACUCACAAUAUUGAAUUCUACCUCAUUGAGAAUUUGAAUUUUCUUUUUGAGUGAUUAACGGUGAGGUUUGCUAACUUUUAUUUUUGAGUGUUGAGUGUUUAUUUUUUACAGGUUUUUGAAAAUGUCUAAAGGUGAUAAUAAUGAGGACAUAUUUAAAAGAUUCCAACAAUAGUUGGACGAACAGGCUACUGCACUUCGAGCGUUGACUGCUACUAUCAAUGAGGUGCGGUUGAAUCAAGAGCCUCAAUAUCGAGAUCAAAUUAAAGACGAUAUGGAUAACCAGCCUCCUGCUCAUAGGCGCGCUCCUCGGCGUGUCCCUAGAACUGAUUAUGAUCUUCAUGAUCGUGGACAACCCUCUUUGGCAAAACCAAAGAGUGAGCAGCAACGAGAACAUCUCUUUCAUACUUGCUGCCAUGUACAAGGUAAGCUUUGUAGAGUUAUUAUUGAUGGUGAAAGUUGCUCGAACGUAGCCAGCACGACGAUGGUGGAAAAGCUUUGCUUAACCACUACCAAGCAUCCACUACCUUAUCAACUACAAGGGCUUAGCAACGAAAGCCAAUUUAAGGUCACUCAACAAGUGCGCAUCGCCUUUUCUAUCGGUAAGUAUCAAGAUGAAGUCGUGUGUGACGUAGUACCUAUUCAAGCCUGCCAUUUGUUGCUAGGAGAACCAUGGCAACUAGAUCGAAAGGUCACUCACGAUGGUCGUACCAAUAGGUAUUCUUUCAAGUAUCAAGGAAGGAAAAUCACCUUAGUGCCGCUCACUCCGGAACAAGUCCAUGAGGACCAAAUCAAACUGAAAAAUUCUGUUGUUAAAACAAGUGAGGAAAAAGAAAAAGAGAAUGAAAAAGAGCAAAAAGAGAUUGAGAGUGAAAAGGAAUGUGAAACAGAAAAGAAAAUUGAAAAAGAAGUUGAAGAAAGAAGAGAAAAUGAGUUAGAAAAAGAAAAAAAAGAAAAAGACGAGGAAAGGCUAGUGAGGAAUGUUUUCACUAACCAAGAUAUGAAUUUUUCUUGUGUUGCUACUUUUCAGGUUCCCGAAGGACCGAAAGAUAACUUUCAACUUCAAUACCUCUCAAAUGAAAGACGCUUUCAUACGAUCAACUUAGGCAAAGAUGAAAUCACACUACAUGAUCCCGAAGGUAAGCAAGGUAAGGAAAUUUUAGAAACCGAGUCCAGUGCAGAUUUGAAAAUUAUUGAUAAAACUUUUGGUGACUUAGUUCUUAAAAGAUCCCCUCAUUUUGAUCCGAUUAAUUGUUACUCUUCGAUUGUGGUUGAUAAAGUCAUUACGAAAAGAAGCGUGAUUUGUUAUUCUCUUGAUUUACCUUGUGUAAAAUCCUCGAAUUUGUCCAAAUCUGUUUUGGAGAAUAAGGUAAUGAAAUUUUCCAAAUUUGUUUUCAAUUUAUAUUCGUGCCUUAAACAGUUUAUGUGGUUGUACAUGAAGUUUGAGUUCCAUUUGACAAAGGUUAACUCAACAAUGGAGAUUCGACUACACUAUGCCCCCGAUGAGCGAAGGUUUGUUUUAAAUGAAAAAGGUAAAAUCGACCCUUAUUCUUUUGCUUAUCAAGGUAAGAUGCUUGAAACCUUUGAAACACUUUUGUACCCCUCGGAUAGCGACAAAGAUCGUGUUGAUGAACACUUAGAUCGAAACGUGCUUGACUGUCCUAUUUUAUUUAUUGAUGAUAAAUCUAUUUUGAUGGUUGAUAAAAAGAUUCUUGUUUUUGAUAAUGCAUGUGUGAGUGAAUCUAUAAACCGUCGAUUAAUGCAUGGUAAUCUGAAUCUGUCCAUUCACAUGCGUUAUACCUGUUCUAUUAUGCUUAUAGUUGGACUACAAGCUUGUUUGCGUUGCUAUUUACUAUUUCAUGGCUAUUCUUUUCAGUCGACUCAAUUGCCAUUAGUCCCGUUCGAUAGAGGAAAGUCGAGUUCAUUUGAUUUUUUAGAUUCGAGGACGAAUCUUUUUGAGGAAGGGGGGAAUGAUACGAGUCACAAAGGCCCAACCCAAGCUUAAGAAGGUGAUGGGCUCAAAUCAAGAAAAUCAAGAUUCACUUUCUUGUUUUCAAGAAAAUCAAGAAAUCGAAUCUUGGCCCAAUUUUGCUGUUCGGAGCGAUUUCAAGAAUCAAGAAAAUCAAGAUUUCAAAUCUUGGAAAUCUUGGUCCAAGAAACCGAAUCUUGCAGCCAAAGCGCGUUGGAUCUCCAUUACGAGCGUCAACGACCCAAUUUCGGUAGGAGAUGGAUCACAAGCCCAAAUUCUUAAAGGCGAGACCCAAUAAGCAAAUUCCCAGCCCAAUCAAGAAAUCCAUACAUAUUUAGUUGAAAAUCAGGCCAAAAUGUCAAAGGGCCCAAUUUGUAAACAUUUUAGUUGUUUAAGUUAAUUUUUUAAGUUUUAGGAAUAUUACAUGUUAAAUUCGGCCCAAAACAGCCCAAUAGGAUGCAUGGCCGAAUUUUCCUUUGUUUUUUUUAAUUAAGUUUAAAUUUUUUAAGUUUUCUAAUUAGAUUAGGAUUUGUUGGAGGCCUAUAUAAGCAUUGGCCAGCCACACUUUGUAAACAUCUUAUUAUCAUUCAAUACAUUAAAUUUCAGUUUGUUAGAGUGCAGAAUUUUCUUUGGGGUUUUCUCCAAGAAUUCUCUCUUGAGCUUUCUUUAGAAGUUGUUUUAACAAUCUUUUGAUUGUGGGAGCCAUCUUCAACCUUCUUCUUGCCAUUGAUAUUCUUUGGAGGGGAGAUUAGAGCCGUUUGAAGAGAUUUGUGAAAUCUUUCGGGAUUUCAAGGAUCUUUAGGACUUAUCCUUUAAUUUUUGCUGUUCAAUUUCUUUUAUUUAAUUCUAUUUGUGCUGAAUCUCAAUUCUAAUCUAUUUGCUAUUUUAUUUGUGUUUCCAGCUCUCGUUUAUCUUAAAAGAUUGAUCAAUUUCACUUUUUGCUGGAGUUCGACCAUCAGCCCUAAAUCCCCAAAUUCUAGGGUUCUUGCCGAAUUCACACUUAUUCUUCUUGGGUGAAUUUGGUUGAGGAAACUUAGGGGAAACUUUCGUGGUGGUCAAUUGAGUAGAUCGCCCUCGCUUUCUCAGCCUCAAUAGCCGUUUUAUGCCUUCAAUUUCUUUCUUUCUCAUUGACGCACAAACCCUAAUUUGUUUCAAGAAAUUCUGGUCGAUCUAAUUUGCUUGCUGAUUUGUUGUUCUUUGACAGAUUCGGCUUGUGGGAGUUCAUUCUUGGGAAUCAAUUUCGUGUUCUUGGUUUCAAGAAACCUCUUUCAUAAGUGUUUCGUUCUUGAUUAGAUCUUGCUGUUUUUUUGGGGUUCUUAUUCCAGAUUUUAAUUUUCCAGAUUUAAUCUCGUUCUUUGUUUGAUUUCAGAUCUGUUCGUUAGAGCUUUCGUAGGAGUUCCCCGUGACUUGGCAACUCGAUCUUGGUCCGCGUGCAAUCCUAUAUCAUCUUUAAUUAGACCCCAAUACUAAGGCUCUUGAUCCAAUCGCAUCUCAUUGAUAGUAGCACUCAAUGUUCAAAGUAUGGCAUUUGUUUGUUUGAGUGCAGUAGCCCGUUCGUCUAACUGUUGUUGGAUCUCUUUAAAUUUAUCAUGGACAUCAUUAUGGUCAUCAUCAACUUUACCAGUUCUAUGCAUCUUAUUUUUUUUUCUUUUGGAAUACCUGCAAAACAAACACUCAACACUCGAAAAAAAUUAACAAACCUCACCGUUAAUCACUCAAAAAUGAAAAUCAAAUUCUCAAAGAGGUAGAAUUCAGUCUUGUUGAUGCGAUCCCGACCGCAUCAUGUAAUGGCACCACCCAAUACCGUUGAGAUUGGCCUAAACACGAGGGCCCCAAGUACAAGAUGAAGCUUAUUUUUAACUCAUUCAAACUUCUUUUCAUGUGGUUCAGCUCACUUGAACUCAAGUCAGCUCAUUCGAGCUCAAUUCAGCUCAUUGAGGUCGUUAUUAGCUCUUUAGCUCAUUUAAUUUUAAUUGCUGGAAUAAAUUAAAUAUUUAAGUUAAUUAGUGAUACUAUCUCGGUUUAGUAGUUGAAUCUGAGUCGUUUAGUUCCCGAUCGAAAACAAAGAAGUAUAUUUGAAUAAAAUGAUUCAAGUAAAAGAAAAUAAGAUUGAGUUUAAAGAAGUCAAACAGGUUUGGAAUAAAGAUAAGUAUGUAUUCGGUUUAGGCUAAAAGAAUGUGAAAUAGGUUUGGUCAAAUUCAGUUUGGGUUUAGGUAAGGAAUGGAUUUGGUUUUGGUAUGAAUUGGAAUUGGCUAUGGGUACGAAAUGGUAUGAGAUUUUUGGUACGAAACAAACCAAAUUGGCUCAAAAAGGUCAAGGAUGAACCAACACUAAAGAAGAGUGUUGACCUGAAACUUAUAGGACCUAAAAGAGUCAAAAUUGGUAAUUUAAGAACCUUGACCCGAUACUUAGGAAAGUAUGAACCAAAGGUAUUAAGGGUGAACGCCACAUUCGGUUUUUUAGGGAGUGAUAAGUUUGGAAAAGACUCAGAAAGAUGCCACUACCUUCCUCAAAAAUAUUCGUCCUCGAAUCUGAAAAAUCAAAUGGAGAUAAUUCAGCCACAUUGAAUAAAUUGCGAGUAAUCAUCUCAAACUGUUUCCACAAACCAUGAAUAAAUUGCGAGUAAUAAAUCAAAUGGUGAACGUAAUCGUCACAAGUAGGUAUUUGAAAGGGUUCACACGGUUCAUAGAGUUGCACAAUCAUACCAUGCAUUAAUCGACGGACUAUAGAUUCACUCACACAUGCAUCAAAAACAAUAAUCUUUUUAUCAACCAUUAAAACAAAUAGAUCAUCAAGAAAUAAAAUAGGAUAGUCAAGCACGUUUCGAUCUAAGUGUUUUACAAAAAUUAAAUCAUCAAUACGAUCUUUGUCACUAUCCGAGGAGUACAAAGGUGUUUCAAAGGUUUCAAGCAUCUUACCUUUAUAAGCAGAAGAAUAAGGGUCGAUUUUACCUUUUUCAUUGAAUACAAACCUUCGCUCAUCGGGGGCAUAGUGUAGUCGAAGCACCGUUGUUGAGUUAGCCUUUGUCAAAUGGAACUCAAAUUUUAUGUAUAACCAUAGAAAUUGUUUAAGGUACAAAUAUAAAUUGAAAACAAACUUGGCAAAUUUCGUUACCUUAUUCAAAAACCAAGUAUCAAAACAAUAGAAAGUAUUUGCCAAAACAGAUUUGCACAAAUUUGAGGAUUUUACACAAGGAAAAUUAAGAGAAUAACAACUCACACUUCCUUUCGUAAUGACUUUAUCAACCACAAUCGAAGAAUAACAAUUAAUCAGAUCAAAAUGAAGGGAUCUUUUAAGAACUAAGUCACCAAUAAUUUUCAAAUCUGCACGGGACUCUGUUGCUAAAAUUUCCUUACCUCGCUUACCUUCGGGCUCAUGUAGUGUGAUUUCAUCUUCAACCUGGCCUAUGUUGAUCGUAUGAAAGCGUCUUUCAUCGGAAAGGUAUUGAAGUUGAAAGUUAUCUUUCGGUAUUUCUGAUAUGAGCUCGCCCAUGAAGAUAGGUGCCGAAUCCAUGGAGUUGCCUAUGGGGCCAAUUACUCGAGCACGUGCCAAGAAGUUCCAAGAUGCCGUAGCAAGCUAUAUUGCUCGAGUGUGGAGUGAUGGGUUGGCUGCACACAAAAUGCCCAGCUCAACUAGUUUGAUUCGCACUUUUCUACAAGCUGAUUUUAGCUCGUAUCAGCUCAAUUCAGCUCAAUUCGGCACUUAACUAAUUCAAGGAGCUGAUUAUAUUCAUUUUGAAUAAAUUACAUUAGUUGUGUUAGUUUAGAAUCAGCUCAAAUCAUUUAAUUGAAUAAAUGUGUUUUAAAUCUGGACAUUUUAAUUUAGCUUAUUAAAUGUGUCUUAUAUUAGUACAUAUCUUUAAUAUGUCUAUAUUAAGUCACAAAUUAAAUAUGUUUAGUUAAUUACAAAGUUUUAAUGUGUCUAGUUUAAGACAAAUUUAUUAGUGGCUGCUAAUUAAUUUGUCUUAGCCGAAUUAAUGUGCAGCAUUUUAAUUUGUUCAACUGCUGAUUUCAUGAGCUUUAAAUAUGUUUUUAAUUGAAUGUAUUUGAUAUUUUUCAGAUGCAUCAGCUAGCUUAAAGGCAAAGGAAGGCAAUUAAAAAAAGGAGCAUGUAUUUGGGCACAUGCAUAGACGGCAUUUAAAGUGCAGCUUCCUUGUGUUUCCAGCUGACUUUUCGUGCAGCUCAAUGGACUUCAAGCUGCUAUUUUGAGCUUCUCUAAGGGUCGAUUUCAUGGAGAUCAAUGGCCAAAGAGUGCUUCAUAAUUUCCAGCAGCCAAUUCACUUGGUGGCUGCUCAUAUUUGGCCAAAGAAGCAUAACUUUUCAAGCUGCCCAUUUCUCUUCUCCAAAGCAGCAAUUAAUCUCUUUUAAAACAUUAGUUGAAUGUGAAUUUUAGCCAUAAAAGGGGACAACCAAAUCAUCUCUUCUAGAAGGUUAUUAUUAAGAUUUUUGUUUAUGAAUGUAUCUAGGAAAUUGCUAGGAAGUUUCCUAAAGAAGCUUAAGGCAUAAGAAUCUGAUUAGGCUAUUCGGCUACCUUAAUCCAUCCUAUAAAUAGGCCAUGUAAUUCACAUUUUGAGGUUAAUGAACAAUUUUAUAGCUUUGCUAAAUUGUGAGGUUGUUUUCAACUCUCGUUAUUCUCCAAGGACUAGUGAGACUUAUCAAACAUCUUUGUGGCAUCAAACUUGUCUUUGUUUAUACUCGAACUUUCACUUUAAUCCCAAAAGUGUGGCGUUCGAUUCAUACUGAGUUUCCUAUCAUAUUUUGAUAGUGGGUCGAAGUCUUUAUCCAUUUCACAAACCUUCCAUCAACACCUUACCAACCUAAGCAUUCUUAUAAGAUACGGGUUAACACACUACCAUUGUGUUAGUUCGGCUUUGAAUCCUUAGCCAAAUUGCAUUCUUUGACUUUUGUUUCAUUUCAUAAAUCAACCAAACUCAUUUGAGCCUUAAUCAUCUUUUUCUUCUAGCCUAUUUUGUAAAGCUUUCAAAUUACUCUUAAUUCACGAUCGGGCAAUUUCUACGACUCAAUUCGUUAACGAGGUGAGGGCGUAUCAAUUUCGGGAACCUGAAAAGUAGCAACACAAGAAAAAAUCAUAUCUUGGUUAGUGGAAACAUUCCUCACUACCCUUUCCUCAUCUUUUUCUUUUGUUUCUUCAAUUUCUUUUUCAAUUUUCUUGUCUGUAUCACAUUCCUUUCCACUCUCAAUCUCUUUUUUCUCUUUUUCAUUCUCUUUUUCUUUUUUGAUUUCUUUUUCUGUCUUUCUUUCAUUACAAGAUAGAGAUGUUACAAAUGAAUCAGAAUGAAAAGACUCUCGUUGGGUAUGUACGGAAUGACUUGCAUACGAACAAUGAUCCCCUUGAAAAACUUCACUCUCGAAACUUGCUUUGCGUCGUCUUGAAUUCCUCGUUGAAUAGGAGUCAUGAUAUGAAUCUCUUCUCGAAUAUUCGUUGGAUGUUCGCCUUCUUGGCACUCUCAUUUCCGCCCUUUCACUUGAAUUAAAUUGUCCUCGUUGGGCUCUUUUCUCCACUUGCAUCUCAUUGAUAGAAGCACUCAAUGUUCGAAGUAUGGCAGCCCGUUCGUCUAACUAUUGUUAGAUCAUUUUCAAUUUAUUAUGGAAAUCAUUCUCACCUUGACCAACCUUAGACAUUUUCAAAAACCUACAAAAUAAACACUCAAUCACUCAAAAAGAAAGUUAGCAAACCUCACCGUUAAUUACUCAAAAAGAAAAAUCAAAUUCUCAAUGAGGUAGAAUUCAGUCUUGUGAGUUCUUACUAGAGUCUAUAUCAACCAAUUAGAAAGUGUAUGCACCAAACUACCAAAGAAUCCUAAUUUGCACUAGGAGUCCAAAAAUUGAUGAGACACCAAUUGAUUCGUGUUGCACCGAGGAAGAAUCGUGCACACGUUUAAAUCCUACUAACACAAGAAAAAAGAAGGUGUUAGAUAUUGUAAAGGAAGAAUAAAAAGCAAACAAAUGAAAACCUACAGCUAAGAAUCAAUAAAAAUUGCUGAAAUCGAAAAACCCAAAAAACUGUGGAGUAACUUGACAGCUUUGUUCGAGGUGUUCCUGAUCUCCAAAAAUCACGAAAUUAAAUCUUGACUGUCCUUAAAUAUUUAAUUUUUGAUCUGGAGAGUUUUGGAACCAAACACAACCCGCUAAAUCUUUUUUAAAAUUUUUAUUGGAUUUCAUAUUUUUCAAUUUUUUUGACUUUUUCGACUGACUUUUUUGCGGGAAAUAUUUUUUAUAUUCAAUCAUAGCCAAAAAUAUGUAUGUAAAAUUUUAGAUAAAUCGGACAAUUUUUACCGACUCAAAUGAAUUUUUAUCAAAAAAAUUUUCUGGGUAAAACUGCUGUUUGUAGUUUAAAAAUAGAAAUCAGUUUAGAAAUAAACCAAGAACACCAAAAACGCCCAAAAUCUGAUACCAAAUGAUAGAGGGUUGCGCGCGGACUAAGAUCAAGUUGCCAAGUCACGAGAAAACUCCUAUGAGGCUCUAAAUGAACAGAUCUAAAACGAAACAGAAAUUAAAAGAUUAGAACUUUGAAUUUCCUGAUCUGAAAUAAAAAUCCCCAAACCAGCAAAGAAUCAAAUUGAGAAUAGGAAUAAGUGUUAAUAAAGGUUCUUGGGGAAUCAAGAACAUGUAAUUGAACCCUAAAGAAUACUCCAAUCUGCUGAAUCUGAAAAGAAAGACACAAACGGCAAGUUAAAUUUCCCCAAAAUUCCAGCAAUCAAAACAACCCAAAUCUAAAAAGAAGAAAUUGGCAAGAAUAAGGAAUUUAGGGAUUUUGAACGAAAUUUACUGCCAAGAACAAAAGGGGCGAUCCGAUCUUUAGUAAAGAAGAGGGCGAAUCAGAUUUGGAAUGCUUUGGAACACCUGAAAUGCAACAAGAACAACAAACAAAGUGAUUAAAUAAAAUCGACACAAGCAGAAUUUAAAAGAAAAAAAUUAACAGAAAAAAAUUAAAAGAUAAGUCCUAAGAAGCCUUGAAAUCCCGAAAGAUAUCACAACUCCCUUCAAACGGCUCUAAUCUCCCCUCCAAAGGAAUAUCAAUGGCAAGAAGAAGGCUAAAGAUGGCUCCCACAAUCAAAAGAUUGUUAAAACAACUUCUAAAAAAAACUCAAGAGAGAAUUCUUGGAGAAAAACUCAAGGAGAAUUCUGCACUUAAACAAAUCUGAAAUUUUUAAUAUAUUUGAGAAGUGAAUCACAAGGUGGCCGGCCAAGCCUUUAUAUAGGCCUCUCAAGUGUUUUCCUAAUCUAAUUAGAAAACUAAAAAUAAAAAACUCCUAAUUAUUUUAAUAUUUAAAUGGAAAUUUGGCCAAGGGCUUUUAAUUGGGCCUCUUGGACUGAAUAUCUACAUAAAAAUUUAAACUAAGUAUUUAAAAAAAUAAAACUUUACAAAUUGGGUCACUUUGACAAUUUGGUCUGAUUUUCAAGUAAGUAUGGUUUGUCUUCUUGUUUGGACUUGGAAUCAUCUUAUUGGGCCUUGCCUUCAAGAACUUGGGCUUGUAUUCUAUCUUCUACCGAAAUUGGUUCGUUAAUGCUCGUAACGGAGAUCCAAUGCGCUUUGGCUGCAAGAUUUGGUUUCUUAGACCAAGAUUUCCAAGAUUUGAAAUCUUGAUUUCCUUGAUUCUUGAAAUUGCUCCAAACAACAAGAUUCGGUUUCUUGAUUUUCUUGAAAAAAAGAAAGUGAAUCUUGAUUUUCUCUUUCUUUCGUGCAUGCAUCCUAAGGCCUUUGUGACUCGUAUCAGCCUCUUGGACUGAAUAUCUACAUAAAAAUUUAAACUAAGUAUUUAAAAAAAUAAAACUUUACAAAUUGGGCCACUUUGACAAUUUGGCCUGAUUUUCAAGUAAGUAUGGUUUGUCUUCUUUUUUGGGCUUGGAAUCAUCUUAUUGGGCCUUGCCUUCAAGAACUUGGGCUUGUAUUCUAUCUUCUACCGAAAUUGGUUCGUUAAUGCUCGUAAUGGAGAUCCAAUGCGCUUUGGCUGCAAGAUUUGGUUUCUUAGACCAAGAUUUCCAAGAUUUGAAAUCUUGAUUUCCUUGAUUCUUGAAAUCGCUCCAAACAGCAAGAUUGGGCCAAGAUUCGGUUUCUUGAUUUUCUUGAAAAAAAGAAAGUGAAUCUUGAUUUUCUCUUUCUUUCGUGCACGCAUCCUAAGGCCUUUGUGACUCGUAUCAUUAUUUAUGGGCUGUAGUAAUUAAAACAACUUAAUAACAUGCAAUUAAUCACAAAUUAAAUAAGGUUUGUCCAGAUUUGAACCAAUUAAAUGCCGAAUAUAAAUUGACCUAAAUAAAUUAACAUAGUAAUUUAUUUCAGCAACUAUGUAAUCGCAUAAUGAAAUUGAGCUGAAACAAAAGUUAUCGAGCUAAAAUUGAGCUGGUUCGAGCUCAUUGAGCUGGAAUGGAGCUUAAUUUAGCUUGCAACAAAUUGCACGGAGAGCUCAUAGAAUUGGCCCAAGCUUCUUCGAUGUGUCCAACCAAGGUUUCUCCCCAAACUUUAUCAACUAAAGUCGAAAUAGCCUCCUUGAAUUGCUUGGCUCGUGAUCGCGUGAUAGGACCUUGGGGCAACUCCAAAGGUUCCUUGUUCGAGCUAGGUAGGAUUUGAGGUUUGGCCGUAUCAAUUAGUUAAUUUAGUUACAGCUCUUAAUUACUUGUCAGCUUAUUACAUGUUUUAAUUAUAUUGUGUUAGUCGAAGUUAAUUAGGUGACUGGACUAUAAUUAAUUUGUCUCAAUUUAGUUAGUAUGAUAAUUAGUGUUUAAUUUGUCUUGAUGCCAUUUAGUUCAGCCGAACAUACAUUUGAACCUAAUUUAGUUCAUGUUUUUUUCUUGUAGGAUGGACGAAUGCAUGAAAGAGCAUUAAAGUCCAAGUGCAUGAAUAGCUUGGUGCAAGGUAUGGGAGUGUGCAUGCACAAUUGAGGUUCAAUGGAAGGCAUUUAAGGGAGCACAAGUACUUGGGACGUUCAUGCAAGAGGGGGCUGCUGAAUGUUCAUGCAUUUGCACAUUUAUGGACCGAAUUUAUGGAAGAACAUACCAUGGAACGUUUCAGGCCUGUCCAUGUAUUUUCCAAGAUCACUAUUCAAGUUUUCAAGGCACUUUAAAGCUCCAUUCAGCCAAGGGAGAUGUUGGAACUAAUAAGGGGCUACACAUCCAUGGAAUUAAGCUUUCUUCAAGAUUAAGGAUGCUUGAAUGCAUCUAGUGAAGCAACAUGAUGUUUCAGUCAAUCCAUGAAUCAUCUCCAAGCAUGAACCAAAUUUUUAAUGCUUCAUUCAUGCUCAUUCAGCUGAAUUUAGCUACAGAAAAUUAAUGAUUUCUUUCUAGAAUUUUAUAGCAUAUUCAUGGUUGAAUUCUUAGCCAUUAAGUUGCCCAUUCGGCUAGCCAUGCCUGGUUCUAUAAAUAGUUGUGUUUAUUUUCAUUGUAAAGAUCUUUUGACAUUGAUAGGGGGUUGCGCGCGGACCAAGAUCGAGUUGCCAAGUCACGGGAAACUCCUACGAAAGCUUUAAACAAUCAGAUCUGAAACGAAACAGAAAAUUAAAAGAUUAGAACUUUGAAUUUCCAGAUCUGAAAUAAAAUCCCCAAAUCAGCAAAGAGUCAAAUUGAGAAUAGAAAUAAGUGUUAAUAAGGGUUCUUGAAACCCUAAAGGAGGUUGCGAUCCUGCCCAAUUGAACACCAAGAUAGUUUUCCCCAAAUUUUGGCAAUCUAAUUUCACCCAAAAAGAGUAUGGAUGAAUCGGAAAGAACCCUAGAAAUUAGGGAUUUUUGGCUGAUUCUUUAAGAUAGAAAAAAAGGCUGGAAACACAAUAAGAACAGCAAAUAAAUUAGAUAAAGAUUUGGCACAAGAAGAAAUAAAGAAAGAAUUGACAGCAAGAAAUUAAAAGAUAAGUUCUAAGAAGCCUUGAAAUCCCGAAAGAUCUCACAACUCCCUUCAAACGGCUCUAAUCUCCCCUCCAAAGAAUAUCAAUGGCAAGAAGAAGGCUGAAGAUGGCUCCCACAAUCAAAAGAUUGUUAAAACAGCUUCUAAAGAAAACCCAAGAGAGAAUUCUUGGAGAAAAACUCAAAGAGAAUUCUGCACUUAAACAAAUCUAAAAUUUUUGAUAUAUUUGAGGAGUGAAUAACAAGGUGGCUGGCCAAGCCUUUAUAUAGGCCUCUCAAGUGUUUUCCUAAUCUAAUUAGAAAACUAAAAACAAAAAAACUCCUAAUUACUUUAAUAUUUAAAUGGAAAUUUGUUCAAGGGCUUUUAAUUGGGCCUCUUGGACUGAAUAUUUACAUAAAAAUUUAAACUAAGUAUUAAAAAAAAUAAAACUUUACGAUUUGGGCCACUUAGACAAUUUGGCCUGAUUUUCAAUUAAGUAUGGGUGGGCUUCUUGAUUGGGCCUGGAAUCUUCUCAUUGGGCCUCGCCUUUAAGAAUUUGGGCUUGUGAUCCAUCUCCUACUGAAAUUGGGUCGUUGAUGCUCGUAACGGAGAUCCAAUGCGCUUUGGCUGCAAAAUUCAGUUUCUUAGACCAAGAUUUCUAGGAUUUGAAAUCUUGAUUUUCUCGAUUCUUGAAAUCGUCCAAACAGCAAAAUUGGGCCAAGAUUCAGUUUCUUGAUUUUCUUGAAAACAAGAAAGUGAAUCUUGAUUUUCUUGUUCUUUUGCGUACGCAUCUAAGGCCUUGCUAACAAAUUCUUGAAUGGUCCCAUUUAGUUUGGAACGUAUUUGUCGGGCCUUUGAUCUCGUAUCAUUCCCCCUUCCUCAAAAAGAUUCGACUUCGAAUCUAAAAAAUCAAAUGGGGACAAGUCAGCCACAUUAAAAGUAGAACUUACAUUGUACUCACCAGGUAGAUCAAUUUUAUAGGCAUUAUCGUUGAUCCUCUCGAGUACUUGGAAAGGCCCAUCGCCCCUUGGGUCCAACUUGGUCUUUCUUUUUGCAGGAAAUCCUUCUUUCCUCAUAUGGACCCAAACUCAAUCUCUGGGUUCUAGGACAACCCGUUUGCGCCCCUUGUUUGCUUUGUUGGUGUUGGCAUCAUUUACUUUGGCUAUUCGUUGCCUAGCCUUCUCAUGUAAGGAUUUCACCAACUCGUUGCCUAAGCCCUUGUGCCGUUCCUGUCUUAUUGGUACCAAAGAAAGAUGGUACGUAUCAAAUGUGUGUUGAUUGUCUUUCAAUCAACAAAAUAACGGUAAAGUAUUGACAUCCAAUUCCUAGACUUGAUGAUAUGCUUGAUGAAUUACAUGGGUCAGUCAUAUUUACAAAAAUUGAUUUAAAAAGCGGUUAUCAUCAAAUUCGAAUGAGGGAAGGGAAUGAAUGGAAAACAGCCUUUAAAACAAAAUUUGGAUUGUAUGAAUGGUUAGUUAUGCCUUUUGGUCUUACUAAUGCACCUAGUAGAUUUAUGAGAUUAAUGAAUCAUGUUUUAAGGCUUCACUUGGGUAAAUUUGUAGUAGUUUACUUUGAUGAUAUUUUAAUUUACUCCAAGACACUAGAUGACCAUGUUUUCCAUGUUAAAACCGUGUUGAAUAUUUUGAGAGAUGAAAAAUUAUUUGCCAACCUUGAUAAAUGCACAUUCUGUUGUGAUAAACUAAUAUUCUUAGGUUUCAUAGUUAGUGCUCAAGGUAUUCAUGUCGACGAAGACAAAGUCAAGGCAAUUAAGGAGUGGCCGACUCCUAAAUUGGUAACUUGGGUGAGAUCUUUCCAUGGUUUAGCUAGUUUUUAUAGACGAUUUGUGAAAGAUUUCUCUACUAUUGUUGCCCCAUUAACAGAGGUUAUAAAGAAAUCAGUGGGUUUCAAAUAGGGUGAAACCCAAGCAAAAGCUUUUCAAACUCUAAAAGAUAAGUUAUGUUCUACUCCUCUUCUCAAAUUACCUGAUUUUUCUAAUACUUUUGAACUUGAGUGUGAUGCUUCAGGAAUUGGAAUUGGCGCCGUUUUAAUGUAAGAUAAACAACCUAUUGCUUAUUUUAGUGAGAAAUUGAACGGAGCACAGAUAAAUUACUCGACUUAUGACAAAGAACUAUUGGCAUUAGUUUGUGCACUUCAAGUAUGGCAACACUAUUUGCUGCAAUGAGUUUGUCAUACAUACAGAUCAUGAGUCUGUUAAAUGGUUAAAGGGACAAGGUAAGUUGAGUAAAAGACAUGCCCGAUGGGUAGAAUUCAUUGAAACAUUCCCUUAUGUGAUACAAUAUAAAACAGGUAAAGAUAAUGUAGUUGCAGAUGCUUUGUCUAGACGAUAUACUUUAAUAACUACAUUGAAUGCUAAAGUCUUUGGGUUUGAACAUAUUAAGGAAUUAUAUGAAGAUAUGCUGAUUUCGGCCAUAUCUAUAAGAAUUGUGGACAUACUGCUUUUGAAAAGUUUGAUCUUGUAGAUGGCUUUCUUUUUCGUAUAAACAGGUUAUGCAUACCAAAGUGUUCCAUGAGAGACUUAUUGAUUCAUGAAGCCCAUAGUGGGGGUUUAAUGGGACAUUUUGGAGUGGCCAAAACACUAGACAUCUUGCAAGAACACUUCUAUUGGCCACAUAUGAAGAAGGAUGUCGAAAAGGUAUGUUCCAAGUGUAUUACAUGCAAACAAGCAAAAUCUAAGGUAAUGCCUCAUGGCCUUUACACUCCUCUACCGAUUCCUACUUCACCUUGGGUAGAUUUAUCCAUGGAUUUUAUUUUAGGUUUGCCUCGAACUAAGAAAGGAAGAGAUAGUAUAUUUGUUGUUGUUGACAGGUUUUCAAAGAUGUCACAUUUUAUUCCUUGUCACAAAACAGAUGAUGCUACACAUGUGGCAGACUUAUUCUUUAAAGAAGUUGUAAGACUUCAUGGCAUCCCUAAAACAAUUGUUUCUAAUAGAGAUGUCAAAUUCCUUAGCCACUUUGGAAGGUAUUGUGGGGUAAGCUUGGAACUAAAUUACUUUAUUCUACUACAUGUCACCCCCAAACUGAUGGCCAAACUGAAGUAGUUAAUCGAAUCUUAGGGACUUUAUUGCGAUCUGUUGUGGGAAAGAACAUUAGAAAUUGGGAAGAAUGCCUACCAUUUGUUGAAUUUGCAUAUAAUAGAUCUAUUCAUUCUACAACUGGUUAUUCUCCAUUCGAACUCGUUUAUGGUUUUAACCCACUGACAGUACUUGAUCUUGCGCCAUUACCUCUUGAACACAUUAUUAAUUUAGAUGGAGAACAGAAAGCUGAGUUGGUGAAAUCCCUACAUGAGAAGGCUAGGCAAUGAAUAGCCAAAACAAAUAAUGCGAACACCAACAAAGCAAACAAGGGGCACAAAUGGGUUGUACUAGAACCCGGAGAUUGGGUUUGGGUCUAUUUGAGAAAAGAACGAUUUCCUACAAAAAGGAAGACUAAAUUGGACCCAAGGGGCGAUGGGCCUUUCCAAGUACUCGAGCGGAUCAACGAUAAUGCCUAUAAAAUUGAUCUACCUAGUGAGAACAAUGUGAGCUCUACUUUUAAUGUGGCUGACUUGUCCCCAUUUUAUUUUUCAGAUUCGAGGACGAAUCUUUUUGAGGAAGGGGGAAUGAUACGAGUCUCAAAGGCCCAACCCAAGAACGUGAUGGGCUCAAGCUACCACAAGGCCCAAUAACGAAAUCAAAGGCCCGACAAAUGCAUUCCAAACUAAAUGGGACCAUUCAAGAAUUUUUUAGCAAGGCCUUAGAUGCGUACACAAAAGAACAAGAAAAUCAAGAUUCACUUUCUUGUUUUCAAGAAAAUCAAGAAACCGAAUCUUGGCCCAAUUUUGCUGUUUGGAGCGAUUUCAAGAAUCGAGAAAAUCAAGAUUUCAAAUUUUGGAAAUCUUGGUCCAAGAAAUCGAAUCUUGCAGCCAAGGUGCAUUGGAUCUCCAUUACGAGCAUCAACGACCUAAAUUUGGUAGGAGAUGGAUCACAAGCCCAAAGUCUUGAAGGCGAGGCCCAAUAAGCGAAUUCCAGCUCAAUCAAGAAAUCCAUACAUAUUUAGUUGAAAAUCAGGCCAAAAUGUCAAAGGGCCCAAUUUGUAAACAUUUUAAUUGUUAAUUUAAUUUUUUAGGCUCUAGGAAAAUUUCAUGUUAAAAAUUGGCCCAAAACAGCCCAUUUAAGUGGCCAGCCGAAUUUCCCUUUUAUUUUUCUUAAUUAGGUUUAAUUUUUAAGUUCUCCUAAUGAGAUUAGAAUUAGUAGAAGGCCUAUAUAAGAGAUGGCCGGCCACCCUUUGUAUUCACUACUCAAUACAUUAAAAAAAUUUUUAGUUUUGUUAAAGUGCAGAAUUUUCUUUGGGGAUCUCUCCAAGAAUUCUCUCUUGAGCUUUCUUUAGAAGUUUUAACGAUCUUGUGAUUGUGGGAGCCAUCUUCAACCUUCUUCUUACCAUUGAUAUUCUUUGGAGGGGAGAUUUGAUCCGUUUGAAGGGAUUUGUGAAAUCUUUCAGGAUUUCAAGGAUCUUUAGGACUUAUCUUUUUUUUCUUACUGUUUCGAUUUCUUUAUUUACUUUCUCUUAUGUCGAUUCUUUAUCUCAUUUGUUUGCUGUUAUUCUUGUGUUUUUCCAGCCAUAUUCCAACUCCAAGAAUCGAUUAAUUCUUCCUUCGUUGGCAGCAAGGAGUCGUCCUCAAAAUUCCCAAAUUCUAGGGUUUGGUCGAUUGGGUUAUAAUCUGUUUGGGGGUCAAUCGGUUGCUGGAAUUUGGGAAAAUCGUCUUGGGUGUUCAAUUAGACCAAAUCGCAUCCUUUAUUCACUUCUUGAAUCGUUCAAUUACAUUGUUCUCUUUCUUUGUUUCUUGCUGCUCCUUUAAUUGAAUUUGGGGAUUUAAAUUCAAAUCUUUGUUUUUGUUUUUAGAUCUGUUCAUCUAGGACCUUUGGUAGGAGUUUCUCGUGACUUGGAAACUCGAUCUUGGUCCGCACGGAACCCUCUAUCAGUAAGUUUGUAGCCUCAAUGUAUUAGCUAUUGGCCUGUUCAAACCAUCAAUAAAUCGAACCAUAGUUGUUUCCUCAUCCUCCUCCACAUUAGCUCUCUAAAUGAGCAUCUCCAUCUCCUUAAAAUAUUCAUCCACCGUCCUACUACCUUAAAUAAGCCUUCUAAGCUUUGUUUUAAUCUCUCUAUAGUAGUGAGGUGGAAUAAACUUUUUGCGCAUAAUCUGUUUCAACUCCUCCCAUGUCGAAAUCUCACCUUCAUAAUUCCGAUGACGAUUUACCCCAAGUUGAGUCCACCAACUUAAUGCAUAAUCUAAAAAUUCCAGUGUCGCUAACGCAACCUUUUCAUCAUCUGGACAUUUAUAAUACCUAAACAUAAGUUCAAUCUUAGAUUCCCAUUCACAAUAAGCUUCUAAAUCAUUCUUACCACGAAAUUGGGGAAUUGUAAACUUCGGUUUUGCCAAAGAAGGUUGUUCACGAUCAUGAAAAUCAAAAUCAGUCCUAGUGACACGUUGAGGACCGCGCCUGAUACGACCAUGCCUCGGGCACACUUUUGGACCAGCUCCCUAAACAUUGUUUGCAAAUCCAUUCGAGCUGAAUUAGUUCAAUUCCUUCUCGUUGAGCUCCGUUUAGCUCGUUUCCAGCUCACUUGAGCUCAAGUCAGCUCAUUCGAGCUCAAUUCAGCUCAAUCUUAACCCAAUGAGCUUAUUUUUAGCUUUCUUUAGUUUGCAUUUAUUUUGCUGAAAUAAACCAUUUAAUUUGUAUUUAGUUGAAUUAGUUGUUUAUUUUAAGUUAAUUAAUUUGUUAAAAUCUGGACAAAUAAUUAAUUAAGUGUUUUAAUUAUAUCUAAAUUAAAUACUUAAUUAAUUAUGAUGUUUUAAAUAUGUCUGAAUUUGUUAAUAUGUAUGGCCGAAUUUAAUGUGCAAAUUAUUGAGUUCAUAUGCUGCUAAUUUAAUGUGUCUGAAAUGCAUUUAACUUGCUGAUGUUAUUUGCUGCAGGUUCAUGAACGGAUUGGUGCAAUGUAUGGGAGUGUGCAUGCACAAUUGAGGUUCAAUGGAUGGCAUUUAAAGUAGCACAUGCAUUUGGGACGUUCAUGCAAGAGGGAGUUGCUGAAAGUUCAUGUAUUUGAAGAUUCAUGGAUCAUAUUUAUGGGGGAAAGUACAUGGGACGUUUCAUGCAUGAUUCAUGCAUUUUCAAGAUGACCAUUCAAGUAUUUUAGGCACAUUAAUGCCUCAUUCAGCCAAGGGAGAUGUAGGAUCAUUAAAGGGCUGCACAUUCAUGGAAUUAUGGAGAUUCUUCAAGGUUAAGGAUGCAUGAAUGCAUCAAGUGAAGCAACAUGAUGAUUCGGUCAAUCCAUGCAUCAUCUCCAAACAUGAACCGAAUUUUUAAUGCUUCAUUCAUGCACAUUCAGCUGAAUUCAGCUACAGCAAAUUAAUGAUUUCUUUCUAGAAAUUUCUAGCAUAUUCAUGGCUGAAUUCUUAGCCAUUAAGUUGCCCAUUCGGCUAGCUUAGUCUUUGCCUAUAUAUAGCUUACUUGUUUAUUGUAAAAGGUUACAGAAUUUGAUUAUUAAACUUAAUAGAACUUUUGUUCUUGUCAGGUUACCUCCUCUAUUCUUUCAUUCGAGUCUCGAAGCGACUUAUCUAGCUUGCUAGUGGGGUCCAUCCAAACUCAAUUGAACUUAUCACCAAACCGGUGUGGCGUUCAACCAUAUUUUUAUACCUUUGGUUCUUACCUCUAUAUAGGUAUUGGGUCAAGGUUCGCUUCUAUCCUUCAUCAAAUUUCACCUUAAGCAAUAUAAGACUCGGGCAAUACUUUUUAGUAUUGAACAUUCUUGACGUUUAAGUUUUAUUUUCCAUCUCCAUCAACUACCGUUUUCUAACCUACCUUGCUUCUAUUCUAAACCGAAUUUAUCAACACCAAACCACUCAUCUAAACCCCUCUCAAAGAUUCCGCAACCCUUAGCCUAAAUCACCCAAUUUUGACAACUCCAACUACUCCUCGUAGAUGAUCAGGCAACUUUGCGAAACGACUCGAUUAACCCGGGCCGGAUCACAUCAGUGCCUAUGAGCAGGAGGCUGGUUAUCCAUAUCUUCUUUAAUUGGGUCUCGAUAUUGAGACUCUUGAUUCAAUCGCACCUCAUUGAUGGUAGCAGUCAAAGCUCGAAGUGCAGCAGCCUGUUCUUCCAACUGUUGUUGGAAUUUUUUAAAUGUUUCAUUAUUAUCACCUUUAGACAUUUUCAAAAAACCUGCAAAAAUAAACACUCAACACUUAAAAAUAAAAGUUAGCAAACCUCACCGUUAAUCACUAAAAAAGAAAAUUAAAUUCUAAAUGAGGUAGAAUUCAGUCUUGUGAGUUCUUUAGUAGAGAUUAUACCAACCAAUUAGAGAGUGUAUGAGCCGAACUACCAAGGAAUCCUAAUUUGCACUAGGAUGCCAAAAACUGACGAGAAACCAAUUGAUUUGUGUCGCACCAAGGAAGAAUUGUGCACACUUUACAAAUCCUACUAACACAAGAAACAAUAAGGUGUUAGAUAAUGUAAAGGGAGAAUAAAAGCAAACAAAUGAAAACCUACAGCUAAUAAUCAAUAAAAAUUGCUGAAACCAGAAAAACCCGAAAAAUUGCGGAGUAACUUGACAACUUCGUUCGAGGUGUUCCCAAUCUCCAAAAAUCAUGAAAUUAAAUCUGAAAUGUCCUUAAAUAUUGAAUUUUUUAUCUGAAAAUUUUGGGCACCAAAAUCAACCCGCUGAAUAUUUUUUUAAAUUUUUAUUGGAUUUUGUCUUUUUUGAUUUUUUUGACUUUUGUCAAUCACAGUUCCAAAAAUAUGUAUGUAAAAUUUCAGAUCAAUCGGACAAUGUUUACCCACUGAAAUGAAUUUUUUUCGAAAAAUUUUUCUAGGUAAAACUGCUGUUUGUAGUUUAAAAAAUAGAGAUCAGUUUAGAAAUCAACCAAGAACACCCAAAAUGCCCAAAAUCUGAUACCAAAUGAUAGGGGGUUGCGCGCAUACCAAGAUCAAGUUACCAAGUCACGGGAAACUCCUACGAAAGCUCUAAACAAUCAGAUCUGAAAAAAACAGAAAAUUAAAAGAUUAGAACUUUGAAUUUCCAGAUCUGAAAUAAAAUCCCCAAAUCAGCAAAGAGUCAAAUUGAGAAUAGAAAUAAGUGUUAAUAAGGGUUCUUGAAACCCUAAAGGAGGUUGCGAUUCUGCCCAAUUGAACACCAAGAUAGUUUUCCCCAAAUUUCGACAAUUUAAUUUCACCCAAAAAAAGUAUGGAUGAAUCGACAAGAACCCUAGAAAUUGGGGAUUUUUGGCUGAUUCUUUAAGAUAGAAAAAAAAGGCUGGAAACACAAUAAGAACAGCAAAUAAAUUAGAUAAAGAUUUGGCACAAGAAGAAAUAAAGAAAGAAUUAACAGCAAGAAAUUAAAAGAUAAGUCCUAAGAAGCCUUGAAAUCCUGAAAGAUCUCAUAACUCCCUUCAAACGGCUCUAAUCUCCCCUCCAAAGAAUAUCAAUGGCAAGAAGAAGGCUGAAGAUGGCACCCACAAUCAAAAGAUUGUUAAAACAGCUUCUAAAGAAAACCCAAGAGAGAAUUCUUGGAGAAAAACUCAAAGAGAAUUCUGCACUUAAACAAAUCUGAAAUUUUUGAUAUAUUUGAGGAGUGAAUAACAAGGUGGCUGGCCAAGCCUUUAUAUAGGCCUCUCAAGUGUUUUCCUAAUCUAAUUAGAAAACUAAAAACAAAAAAAACUCCUAAUUACUUUAAUAUUUAAAUGGAAAUUUGGCCAAGGGCUUUUAAUUGGGCCUCUUGGACUGAAUAUUUACAUAACAAUUUAAACUAAGUAUUAAAAAAAAUAAAACUUUACGAUUUGGGCCACUUAGACAAUUUGGCCUGAUUUUCAAUUAAGUAUGGGUGGGCUUUUUGAUUGGGCCUGGAAUCUUCUCAUUGGGCCUCGCCUUCAAGAAUUUGGGCUUGUGAUCCAUCUCCUACCGAAAUUGGGUCGUUGAUGCUCGUAACGGAGAUCUAAUGCGCUUUGGCUGCAAGAUUCGGUUUCUUGGACCAAGAUUUCCAAGAUUUGAAAUCUUGAUUUUCUCGAUUCUUAAAAUCUUCCAAAUAGCAAAAUUGGGUCAAGAUUCGGUUUCUUGAUUUUCUUGAAAACAAGAAAGUGAAUCUUGAUUUUCUUGUUCUUUUGCGUACGCAUCUAAGGCCUUGCUAACAAAUUCUUGAAUGGUCCCAUUUAGUUUGGAACACAUUUGUCGGGCCUUUGAUCUCGUAUCAUUCCCCCUUCCUCAAAAAGAUUCGACCUCGAAUCUGAAAAAUCUAAUGGGGACAAGUCAGCCAUAUUAAAAGUAGAACUUACAUUGUACUCACCAGGUAGAUCAAUUUUAUAGGCAUUAUCGUUGAUCCUCUCGAGUACUUGGCUGAUUCUUUAAGAUAGAAAAAAAAAGUCUGAAAACACAAUAAGAACAGCAAAUAAAUUAGAUAAAGAUUCGGCACAAGUAGAAAUAAAGAAAGAAUUGACAGCAAGAAAUUAAAAGAUAAGUCCUAAGAAGCCUUGAAAUCUCGAAAGAUCUCACAACUCCCUUCAAAUGGCUUUAAUCUCCCCUCCAAAGAAUAUCAAUGGCAAGAAGAAGGCUGAAUGAUAGAGGAAUGCACGCGGGCCAAGAUCGAGUUGCCAAGUCACGGGAAAACUCCUACGAGGCUCUAAACGAGCAGAUCUAAAAUUAAAACAAAGAACAAGAUUAAAAGCAAAUCAGAUCUGGAAAUCAAAAUCCCCAAAAUAAUCAAGAACAGCCAAGAAUCAAAGAUCUUAUGAAUAGAUGUCGUCGGAAUGCGAAAACACGAAAUCGAUCUCCAAUAUUGAUUCUCAACAAGCCGAAUCUAUCCAAAAACACCUAGAACAGCAAGCAAAUUCAACAAUCAGAUUUUUAAAUGGAAAGUGAGAGAUAUUGCGACAAGAAUGAAAGGAGAAGAAAAACAAUGGAAUAAAAUGAAUCGGUGAUUGAAUAAAGAUCUCGAUUCUGUCCAAUUGAACAACCAAGACGUAUUCCCCAAAUUCCAGCAAUCGAAUGUACCCAAGAAGGCUAAAGAUGAAUUCGGCAAGAACCCUAGGAUUUUGGGGGUUUUAAACUGAUUAUGUGCUGCCAACGAGAGGGAUAUUUGACCGAUUCUUUGAGUUGAAAGAAGGAUGGAAACACAAGAAUAACAGCAAAUUGAUUAGUUGAGAAAUCGGCACAAGUAGAAUUAAAGAAAAUAAAUUGAACCGCAAGAAUUCAAAUAUAAGUUCUAAAGAUCCUUGAAAUCCCGAAAGAUUUCACAAAUCCCUUCAAACGGCUCUAAUCUCCCCUCCAAAGAAUAACGAUGGCAAGAAGAAGGUUGAAGAUGGCUCCCACAAUCAAAAGAUUGUUAAAACAACUUCUAAAGAAAGCUCAAGAGAGAAUUCUUGGAGAAAUCCUCAAAGAAAAUUCUGCACUUUGCAAAUCUGAAAUUUGAUAAAUUCUAAGUUGUUUUUACAAAGGGUGGCCGGCCAUCUAUUAUAUAGGCCUCCAACUAAUCAUAAUCUCAUUAGGAAACUUAAAAUUUAAAUCUAAUUAAUAAAAACAAUAAGAGAAUUUCGGCAAACAAUGGGCUGUUUGGGCUGAAUUUAACACUUCAAAUUCCUAGAGCCUAAAAAGUUAAAUUAAUAAUUAAAAUGUUUAUAAAUCGGGCCCUUUGACAUUUUGGCCUGAUUUUCAACUAAGUAUAUAUGAAAGUCUUGAUUGGUCUGGAAUUUGCUUAUUGGGCCUCGCCUUCAAGACUUUGGGCUUGUGAUCCAUCUCCUACCAAAUUUGGGUCGUUGAUGCUCGUAACGGAGAUUCAAUGCGCCUUGGCUACAAGAUUCGGUUUCUUGGACCAAGAUUUCCAAGAUUUGAAAUCUUGAAUUUCUCGAUUCUUGAAAUCACUCCAAACAGCAAAAUUGGGCCAAGAUUCGGUUUCUUGAUUUUCUUGAAAAUAAGAAAGUGAAUCUUGAUUUUCUUGUUCUUUUUUGUAUGCGUCUAAGGCCUUGCUAACAAAUUCUUGAAUGGUCCCAUUUAGUUUGGAACACAUUUGUCGGGCCUUGUGGUAGUUUGAGCCCAUCACGUUCUUGGGUUGGAUUAGGCCUUUGUGACUCGUAUCAUUCCCCCUUCCUCAAAAAGAUUCGUCCUCGAAUAUGAAAAAUCAAAUAGACUUGACUUUCCUCGAUCGAACGGGACUAAUGGCAGUUGAGCCCACUGAAAAGAAUAGCCAUGAGUUAGUAAAUAGAAUUGCAAAGAAACUUGUAAUCCAAUCAUAAGCAUAAUGAAACAAGUACAAUGCAUACGAAUGGAUAGAUUUAGAUUACCAUGCGAAUAAGCUAAUUUACUCGCCAAUGCCUCGUCAAAUAUUCGAAAUAAAGAUGGACAUGUUUUAAGGCAUUCAAUCAUCUCAAAUUGUUUCCACAAACCAUGAAGAAAUCGCGAGUAAUAAAUCAAAUGGUAAACGUAAUCGUCACAAGUAGGUAUUUGAAAAGGUCCACAUAGUUCACAGAGUUGCACAAUCAUAGCAUGCAUUAAUCGACGGACUAUGGAUUCACUCACACAUGUAUCAAAAACAAUAAUCUUUUUAUCAAUCAUUAAAACAGAUAGAUCAUCAAUAAAUAAAAUAGGAUAGUCAAGCACGUUUCGAUCUAAGUGUUUUACAAAAAUUAAAUCAUCAACACGAUCUUUGUCACUAUCUGCGGAGUACAAAGGUGUUUCAAAAGUUUCAAGCAUCUUACCUUUAUAAGCAAAAGAAUAAGGGUCGAUUUUACCUUUUUCAUUGAAUACAAACCUUCGCUCAUCGGGGGCAUAGUGUAGUCGAAGUUCCGUUGUUGAGUUAACCUUUGUCAAAUGGAACUCAAACUUUAUGUAUAACCAUAGAAAUUGUUUAAGGCACGAAUAUAAAUUGAAAACAAACUUGGCAAAGCUUGUUACCUUAUUCAAAAACCAAGUAUCAAAAUAAUAGAAAGUAUUUGCCAAAACAGAUUUGCACAAAUUCGAGGAUUUUACACAAGGAAAAUUAAGAGAAUAACAACUCAUGCUUCCUUUCGUAAUGACUUUAUCAACCACAAUCAAACAAUUAAUUGGAUCAAAAUGAGGGGAUCUUUUACGAACUAAGUCACCAAAAGUUUUAUCAAUUAUUUUCAAAUCUGCACGGGACUUGGUUGCUAAAAUUUCCUUACCUCGCUUACCUUCGGGCUCAUGUGGUUGGAUUUCAUCUUUGCCUAUGUUGAUUGUAUGAAAGCGUCUUUCAUUCGAGAGAUAUUGAAGUUGAAAGUUAUCUUUCUAUCUUUCGAGAACCUGAAAAAUAGCAACAUAAGAAAAAUUCAUAUCUUGGUUAGUGAUAACAUUCCUCACUACCCUUUCCUUGUCUUUUUCUUGUGUUUCUUUUUCUAACUUAUUUUCUCUUCUUUCUUCAAUUUCUUUUUCACUUUUCUUUUUUGUUUCACAUUCCUUUUCACUCUCAAUCUCUUUUUGCUCUUUUUCAUUCUCUUUUUCUUUUUUCUCACUUGUUUUAACAACAGAAUUUUUUAGUUUGAUUUGGUCCUCAUGGACUUCUUCCAGAGUGAGCGGCACUAAGGUGAUUUUCCUUCCUUGAUGCUUGAAAGAAUACCUAUUGGUACGACCAUCGUGAGUGACCUUUCGAUCUAGUUGCCAUGGUUCUCCUAGCAACAAAUGGCAGGCUUGAAUAGGUACUACGUCGCACACGACUUCGUCUUGAUACUUACUGAUAGAAAAGGUGAUGUGCACUUGUUGAGUGACCUUAAAUUGGCCUUCGUUGCUAAGCCCUUGUAGUUGAUAAGGUCGUGGAUGCUUGGUAGUGGUUAAGCAAAGCUUUUCUACCAUCGUCAUGCUGGCUACGUUCGAGCAACUUUCACCUUCAAUAAUAACUUUACAAAGCUUACCUUGUACAUGGCAGCGAGUAUGAAAGAGAUGUUCUCGUUGCUGCUCGCUCUUUGGUUUUGCCAAAGAGGGUUGUCCACGAUCAUGAAGAUCAUAAUCAGUUCUAGGGACACACCGAGGAGCGCGCCUAUGAGUAGGAGGCUAGUUAUCCACAUCGUCUUUAAUUGGAUCUCGAUAUUGAGGCUCUUGAUUCAACCGCACCUCAUUCAAAGUAGUAUUCAAUGCUUGAAGUGUAGCAUUCAUUUGUGUGAUUGCAGCAGCAUGUCUGUCUAACUGUUGUUGGACUUUCAUAAGUGUAUCAUUAUGGUCAUCUUUAGACAUUUUCCAAAACCCUACAAAAAUAAAUACUCAACACUCAAAAAUAAAAGUUAGCAAACCUCACCAUUAAUCACUCAAAAAGAAAAUUCAAAUUCUCAUUGAGGUAGAAUUCAAUCUUGUGAGUUCUUUAUUAGAGUUUAUAUCAACCAAUUAGAGAGUGUGAACCAAACUACCAAAGAAUCUUAAUUUGCCCUAGGAUGCCAAAAACUGAUGAGACACCAAUUGAUUCGUGUUGCACCGAUGAAGAAUUGUGCACACGUUUAAAUCCUACUAACACAAGAAACAAGAAGGUGUUAGAUAUUGCAAAGGGAGAAAAAAAAAGCAAACAAAUGAAAACCUACAGCUAAGAAUCAAUAAAAAUUGUUGAAAUUGAAAAACCCAAAAAACUGCGGAGUAACUUGACAACUUCGUUUGAGGUGUUCCUAAUCUCAAAAAAUCAUGAAAAUAAAUCUGGAAUGUCCUUAAAUAUAUAAUUUUUUAUCUGGAAAGUUGGGGCACCAGACUCAACCCGCUGAAUAUUUUUUAAAUUUUUUAUUGGAUUUCAUCUUUUUUCGAUUUUUUGACUUUUUGACUGAUUUUUUUGCGGGAAUAAAUUUUUUAUAUUCAAUCACAGUGCCAAAAAUAUUUAUGUAAAAUUUCAGAUCAAUUGGACAACGUUUACCCACUCAAAUGAAUUUUUUUUGAAAGAUUUUUCUGGGUAAAACUGCUGUUUUUGCUUUAAAAAAUUGAGAUCAGUUUAGAAAUCAACCAAGAACACCCAAAACACCCAAAAUCUGAUACCAAAUGAUAGAGGAAUGCACACGGACCAAGAUCGAGUUACCAAGUCACGGGAAAACUCCUGCGAGGCUCUAAACGAGCAGAUCUGAAAUCAAAACAAAGAACAAGAUUAAAAGCAAAUCAGAUUUGGAAAUCAAAAUCCCUAAAAUAAUCAAGAACAGCCAAGAAUCAAAGAUCUUAUGAAUAGAUGUCGUCAGAAUGCGAAAACACGAAAUAAGAUGAACUAAUACUAAUGUGAUAUUUAGUUGAACAAAAUUAAGAAUAAAACCUUGACACAUUAAUUCGGUCAACAAUGACACUAAAAUCAGUUCAUUAAAUUCGGCAGCCUUAAUUCAAAAUUAAAUCAUGUAAUAAAACUUGACAUAUUAAAAACAUGCAUAAAACAUAUUAAUAAGCUGUAAUAAACUAAUUUAGUUGACUCAAAUAAAUAUUUCAGCUACUAUAUUAAUGUCUAGUUGAUAUUGAGCUGAAUUGUAAGUGUUUGAGCUGAAAUUGAGCUGAUUCGAGCUCAUUGAGCUGGAAUGGAAGUUAAUUCAGCUCGAUUUAGAGUGCAAGGAAUGCUCAUCGAGUUGGUCCAAGCUUCUUCGAUGUGCCCAACCAAAAUCUCGCCCCAAACUUUGUCUACCAAAGCUGAAACAGCCUCCUUGAAUUGUUUAGCUCGUGAUCGGGUGAUAGGACCUUGAGGUAGCUCCAAAGGUUCCUUGUUCGAGCUAGGUAGAACUUGAGGCAUGGCCGUAUCAUCCUCCCCCUCUUCAAAGCGAUUUUCCCUCAAAUCGGAAUCUGCAUCAAAAGGGGAUAAGUCAGACACAUUAAAACUCGUACUUAUAUUAUACUCACCUGGUAGAUCAAGCCGAUAAGAAUUUUCGUUAAUUCGUUCCAAGACUUGGAAAGGUCCGUCACCACGCGGUAGUAGCUUUGAUCUACGUUGGGCUGGAAAACGUUCCUUUCUCAUGUGAACCCAAACCCAAUCACCAGGUUCGAAGAUAAUUCUUUUACGACCCUUGUUCGCUUUCCUAGCAUAACUUUCGGUUCUUGCUUCAAUGUUGGCUCGAACUUGUCGAUGUAACUCCUUCACAUACUCGACCUUUUUUCUAGCAUCUGCAUGAAUAAGUUGAUCGUUAGGUAAAGAUACUAAAUCUAAAGGAGUUAAUGAAUUAAACCCAUAAACGAUUUCAAAAGGAGAGUGUUUGGUUGCCGAAUGAACGGAUCGAUUAUACGCAAAUUCAAUAUGCGGUAAACACUCUUCCCAUGACUUGAUAUUUUCUGUAUAAUGGCCCACAAUAAAGUUGAUAGCACUCGGUUGACCACUUCCAUUUGGCCAUCCGUUUAGGGGUGGAAAGUGGUUGAAAAUAGCAACUUAGUUUCGAGAUUUCCCCACAACGACCUCCAAAAGUGACUCAAAAACUUUGUGCCUCGAUCAGAAACAAUCGUCCUUGGGAUGCCAUGCAAACGAACAAUUUCCUUAAAGAAAAGAUUAGCAAUGUGAACGGCAUCAUCAGUUUUUGUACAUGAAAUAAAAUGAGACAUUUUUGAAAAACGAUCAGCAACAACAAAGAUCGAGUCCUUCCCCGUUUUAGUCCUAGGCAAUCCAAGGACAAAGUCCAUGGAAAUGUCUUCCCAAGGUGCAUCGGGUAUAGGGAGCGGCGUAUACAGUCCAUGCGGUUUAACCUUGGAUUUGGCCUUCUUGCACAUCACACAUAGCGCACAAAUCCGGUCAACAUCCCUUUUCAUUUUUGGCCAAUAGAAAUGCUCUUGGAGAGUUGCUAAGGUUUUUCCAAUGCCGAAAUGGCACAUGAGGCCUCCGCUAUGUGCCUCAAGUAUUAAUAAUUCUCGUACGGAACUCCUAGGCACACGUAAUUUUCCCUCUCUAAAAAGGAAACCAUCGCACCUAUAAAACUUAUCAAUAGCAACAUUUUCACACGUAACAAAUAUUUCUCCAAAAUCAUCGUCAGUAGCAUAUAAAUCUUUUAACAAUGUAAAACCAAGUAGUUUAGAGUCCAAAUACAACAAAAGGGUAUACCUUCUUGAAAGAGCAUCAGCUACGAUAUUUUCCUUACCCUUUUAAUAUUUUAUGACAUAGGGAAAUGCUUCCAAAUACUCUACCCACUUAUCAUGGCGUUUGUUUAAUUUGUGUUGACCUUUAAUGUGCUUUAACGCUUCAUGAUCCGAAUGGAUCACGAACUCCUUCGGCCACAAAUAAUGCUGCCAAGUUUCGAGAGCACGAAUGAGUGCAUACAUCUCCUUGUCAUAUACGGGGUAGUUUAGCAUGGCACCAUUCAACUUUUCACUAAAGUAAGCAAUCGGCCUCCCAUCUUGAGUUAACAUGGCACCUAUUCCAACACUUGAGGCAUCACACUCAAUUUCAAAUGUCUUAGAAAAAUCAGGCAAUGCUAACAACGGAGCUUUAGUAAGACAAUCUUUAAUAAUAUUAAAAGAAUUUUCUUGCUCGUCGCCCCAAUGAAAAGUCGAAUUCUUCUUGAUGGUGCUUGUCAAGGGUGCGCCCAACGUGCUAAAGUUGGGUACAAAAUGCCUAUAGAAACUUGCUAGGCCAUGGAAGCUACGCACUUGGCUUAUACUCGUUGGUCUCGGCCAUUCCUGAAUCGCCUUAAUCUUUUCACUAUCGAUUUCAAGGCCCUCCGAGCUGACUACAAAACCUAAGAAAAUCACUUUGUUAGAACAAAAUGUACACUUCUUAAGAUUAGCAUACAAAGUCUCCUUCCUAUACUUCCAAAACAGAUCGCAAAUGCAUUAUAUGCUCAUCUAAUGACUUACUAUAUAUGAGAAUAUCAUCGAAAUACACAACGCAAAACUUACCAAUGAAAUUUCGUAAAACAUAGUUCAUAAGUCUCAUAAAAGUACUAGGGGCGUUGGUUAAGCCGAAUGGCAUGACCAACCAUUCAUAAAACCAUGUUUCAUUUUAAAAACAGUUUUCCACUCAUCACCUUCGCGCAUUCGAAUCUGAUGGUAUCCACUUUUGAGAUCAAUUUUUGAGAACAAUUUAGCACCACUUAACUCAUCGAGCAUGUCAUCUAAACGCGGUAUGGGAUGCCUAUACUUAACGGUGAUUUUAUUUACAGCGCGACCAUCGACACACAUGCGCCACGUUCCAUCCUUCUUUGGCACUAACAAAACCUGAUAGAGAGACACGCGCGGACCAAGAUCGGGUUGCCAAGUCCCGGGGAACUCCUACGAAGGCACUAACGAACAGAUCUGAAAUCAAACAAAAAACGAGAUUAAAUCUGGAAAAUUAAAAUCUAGAAUAAGAACCCUAAAAACAGCAAGAUCUAAUCAAGAAACGAAACACUUAUGAAAGAGGUUUCUUGAAACCAAGAACACGAAAUUGAUUCCCAAGAAUGAAUUCCCACAAGCUGAAUCUGUCAAAGAACACCAAAUCAGCAAGCAAAUUAGAUCGACCAGAAUUUCUUGAAACAAAUUAGGGUUUGUGCGUCAAAGAGAAAGAAAGAAAUUGAAGGCAUAAAACAGCUAUUGAGGCUGAGAAAGUGAGGGCGAUCUGCUCAAUUGACCACCACAAAAGUUUCCCCUAAGUUUCCACAACCAAAUUCACCCAAGAAGAAUAAGUGUGAAUUCGGCAAGAACCCUAGAAUUUGGGGAUUUAGGGCUGAUUGUCGAACUCUAACAAAAAGUGAAAUUGAUCAAUCUUUUAAGAUAAACGAUGGCUGGAAACACAAAUAAAACAGCAAAUAGAUUAGAAUUGAAAUUCGGCACAAGUAGAAUUAAAUAAAAGAAAUUGAACAGCAAAAAUUAAAGGAUAAGUCCUAAAGAUCCUUGAAAUCCCGAAAGAUUUCACAAAUCUCUUCAAACGGCUCUAAUCUCCCCUCCAAAGAAUAUCGAUGGCAAGAAGAAGGUUGAAGAUGGCUCCCACAAUCAAAAGAUUGUUAAAACAACUUCUAAAGAAAGCUCAAGAGAGAAUUCUUGGAGAAAACCCCAAAGAAAAUUUUGCACUCUAACAAACUAAAAUUUAAUGUAUUGAAUGAUAAUAAGAUGUGUUUACAAAGGGUGGCUGGCCAAUGCUUAUAUAGGCCUCCAACAAAUCCUAAUCUCACAAGUAACUAAUAAAAAUUAAACCUAAUUAAUAAAAUAACAAGGUAAAUUCGGCCAUGCACUUAUAUGGGCUAUUUUGGGCCGAAUUUCACAUGUAAUGCUCCUAAAGAUUAAAAAUUAAAUUAAACAAGUAAGAUGUUUUCAAAUUGGGCCUGAUUUUCAACUAAGUAUGAAGUAAUUUCUUGAUUGGGCUGGAUUUUGGUUAUUGGGCCUCGUCUUCAAGAAUUUGGGCUCGUGAUCCAUCUCCUACCAAAAUUGGGUCGUUGACGCUCGUAAUGGAUAUCCAAUGUAUUUUGGCUGCAAGAUUCUGUUUCUUGGACCAAGAUUUCCAAGAUUUGAAAUCUUGAUUUUCUUGAUUUUAAAAUCUCUUUGAACAACAAAAUUGGGCCAAGAUUCAGUUUCUUGAUUUUCUUGAAAACAAGAAAGUGAAUCUUGAUUUUCUUGUUCUCUUGUGUAUGCAUCUAAGGCCUUGCUAACAAGCUCUUGAAUGGUCCCAUUUAGUUUGGACCGCAUUUGUCGGGCCUUUGAUCUCGUUAUUGGGCCUUGUGGCAAUUUGAGCCCAUCACGUUCUUGAACUUGGAUUGGGCCUUUAUGACUCGUAUCAUUCCCCCUUCCUCAAAAUGGUUCGUCCUCGAAUCUGAAAAAUCAAAUGGGGACAAGUCAGCCACAUUAAAAGUAGAACUUACAUUGUACUCACCAGGUAGAUCAAUUUUAUAGGCAUUAUCGUUGAUCCGCUCGAGCACUUGGAAAGGCCCAUCGCCCCUUGGGUCCAACUUAGUCUUCCUUUUUGUAGGAAAUCGUUCUUUCCUCAAAUGGACCCAAACCCAAUCUCCGGGUUCUAGUACAACCCGUUUGCGCCCCUUGUUUGCUUUGUUAGUGUUGGCGUCAUUUGUUUUGGCUAUUCGCUGUCUAGCCUUCUCAUGUAAGGAUUUCACCAACUCAGCUUUCUGUUCGCCAUCUAAAUUCAUAACGUGUUCAAGAGGUAAUGGCGCAAGAUCAAGUACUGUUAGUGGGUUAAAACCAUAAACAAGUUCAAAUAGGGAAUAACCAGUUGUAGAAUGAAUAGAUCUAUUAUAUGCAAAUUCAACAAAUGGUAGGCAUUCUUCCCAAUUUCUAAUGUUCUUUCCCACAACAGCUCGUAAUAAAGUCCCUAAGAUUCGAUUAACUACUUCAGUUUGACCAUCAGUUUGGGGGUGACAUGUAGUAGAAUAAAGCAAUUUAGUACCAAGCUUACCCCAAAAUACCUUCCAAAAGUGACUAAGGAAUUUGACAUCUCUAUCAGAAACAAUUGUUUUAGGGAUGCCAUGAAGUCUUACCACUUCUUUAAAGAAUAAGUCUGCCACAUGUGUAGCAUCAUCUGUUUUGUGACAAGGAAUAAAAUGUUACAUCUUUGAAAACCUGUCAACAACAACAAAUAUACUAUCUCUUCCUUUUUUUGUUCGAGGCAAACCUAAAAUAAAAUCCAUGGAUAAAUCUACCCAAUGUGAAGUAGGAUCGGUAGAGGAGUGUAAAGGCCAUGAGGCAUUACCUUAGAUUUUGCUUGUUUGCAUGUAAUGCACUUGGAACAUACCUUUUCCACAUCCUUCUUCAUAUGUGGCCAAUGGAAGUGUUCUUGCAAUAUGUCUAGUGUUUUGGCCACUCCAAAAUGUCCCAUUAAUCCCCCACUAUGGGCUUCAUGAAUCAACAAUUCUCUCAUGGAACACUUUGGUAUGCAUAACCUGUUUAAACGAAAAAGAAAGCCAGCUACAAGAUAAAAUUUUUCAAAAGCAGUAUGUCCACAAUUCUUAUAGAUAUGGCUGAAAUCAGUAUCAUCAUCAUAUAACUCUUUAAUAUGUUCAAACCCUAAGACUUUAGCAUUCAAUGUAGUUAUUAAAGUAUAUCGUCUAGACAAAGCAUCUGCAACUACAUUAUCUUUACCUGUUUUAUAUUGAAUCACAUAAGGGAAUGUUUUAAUGAAUUCUACCCAUCGGGCAUGUCUUUUACUCAACUUACCUUGUCCCUUUAACCAUUUAAGAGACUCAUGAUCUGUAUGUAUGACAAACUCAUUAGGCAGCAACUAAUGUUGCCAUACUUGAAGUGCACGAACUAAUGCCAAUAGUUCUUUGUCAUAAGUCGAGUAAUUUAACUGUGCACCGUUCAAUUUCUCACUAAAAUAAGCAAUAGGUUGCUUAUCUUGCAUUAAAACGGUGCCGAUUCCAAUUCCUGAAGCAUCACACUCAAGUUCAAAAGUUUUAGCAAAAUCAGGUAAUUUAAGCAAAGGAGCAGAACAUAACUUAGCUUUUAGAGUUUUAAAAGCUUUUUCUUGGGUUUCACCCCAUUUGAAACCCACUGAUUUCUUUAUAACUUCAGUCAAUGGGGCAGCAAUAGUAGAGAAAUCUUUCACAAAUCAUCUACAAAAACUGGCUAAACCAUGGAAAGAUCUCACCUCAGUUACCGAUUUAGGAGUCGGCCACUCCUUAAUUGCCUUAACUUUAUCCUCGUCGACAUGAAUACCUUGAGCACUAACUAUGAAACCUAAGAAUAUUAGUUUAUCACAACAGAAUGUGCAUUUAUCAAGGUUGGCAAAUAAUCUUUCAGUUCGUAGAAUAUCCAAAACGGUUCGAACAUGGAAAACAUGAUCAUCUAAUGACUUUGAGUAAAUUAAAAUAUCAUCGAAGUAAACUACUACAAAUUUACCCAAAUGUAGCCUCAAAACAUGAUUCAUUAAUCUCAUAAAUGUACUAGGUGCAUUAGUAAGGCCGAAAGGCAUAACUAACCAUUCAUACAAUCCAAAUUUUGUUUUAAAGGUUGUUUUCCAUUCAUCCCCUUCCCUCAUUCGAAUUUGAUGAUAACCGCUUUUAAAUCAAUUUUUGUAAAUAUUAUUGAACCAUGUAAUUCAUCAAGCAUAUCAUCAAGUCUAGGGAUUGGGUGUCGAUACUUUACCGUUAUCUUGUUGAUUGGGCAACAAUCAACACACAUAUGAAACGUACCAUCUUUCUUUGGCACCAAUAAGACAGGAACAGCACAAGGACUUAGGCUCUCACGAAUGUACCCUUUGUCUAGUAAUUCCUCAACUUGCCUUUGCAAUUCCUUUGUCUCCUCGGGAUUGCAUCUAUAGGCUGGUCGAUUUGGGAUUGAAGCUCCGGGUACUAAGUCAAUUUGAUGUUCUAUCCCUUGUAAAGGUGGUAAACCUUUAGGGGCUUCACUAAAAACAUCCUCAUAAUCCUGCAAAAGAGAUUGAAACACACUAGGCAAAUUUUCGUUAAUGUUAGAUAAAGAUAAAUAAUUUUGCCUAAACCUCACAAGGAUACAAGGCUGUUUAUUAAGUAGGGCUCUCUUCACAUCUUUUUUUGUUGCCAAAAGAUUUUUUCCGCUCAUUUUACCACUAGAGGAUUCACUCACCUUUGGGCUUUUUAAAUUUUGACUUUUUCCACUACUAUUAGCCUCUUUUCUCUCUGUCUUUUGUACUUGUUCUUUCUUCCUUACCCCCUCACAAAAUUUUAUCAUCCUCAAUUGAUCUUUAUAUACAUCAGUAGGAUUUAAAGGAGCAAAAGUGAAUUUCUUGCCUUUAAAUACAAGGGAGUAUCGAUUAAGUUUACCUUGGUGUGUAACAUCGCGAUCAAAUUGCCAAGGUCGUCCAAGGAGCAAGUGUGCCGCAUGCAUGGGGACUACAUCACACCAUACGUCAUCCUUAUAAUUGCCGAGUUUAAAAGUGACCAAGGACUGUUUCGUAACUUUAACUUCGGAACAUUCAUUAAGCCACUGAAGGUGAUAUGGCUUAGGGUGUUUGGUGCAAGGCAACUUUAAAGAAUGAACCAAAUAGCUACUCACCACAUUUGAGCAACUACCACUAUCAAUAAUGAGUGAACAUAAGUUACCUUUAAUAAAACACCGAGAAUGGAAAAUAUUGGUCCUUUGGCUAUCAUCAUCUUUCAUCUGAAUGUUAAGGGUUCGACGAACUACAAGGCAUUGAAAAUCAGCAAAGUCCCCUUCUUUGGGUGGUUCAACCUACUCUUCGCCAUUAUCACUGUCAUCAACAAGUUUUGGCAUAUCUGGAUCUGUUUUAUCAGAGUCAGAAGUAUACUCACCAUUAUCUUUUAGAAGAAGGAAUCUCGUGUUAGGGCAUUCCCUACUAUAAUGACCACGCCCUUUGCACUUAAAACAUUCAACCUCACGAGUCCUCUUCACACUCGAAUCACCUAAAUUGGGCUACUUAGAAGGUGUUUGCGUUUUAGCAGGAGCCCCUUUUUUCCAAUCUGACUGCUUGUUACUCAAAGAAGACUUAUUAGUAACAAAAGGUGGUUUUGAACUCUUAAAAUCAAAAUUGGAAUUGUUACCUCGGUAAUAUUGUGAAGUAGAGAAUGACCCAAACCUUUGUUCCUUUAAUUGUUGCUCGAUCUCAAUGGCUUUGUGAACUGCUUCUUCCAAAUUAAUGUAAGUUUGUAGCCUCAAUGUAUUAGCUAUUGGCCUGUUCAAACCAUCAAUGAAUCAAACCAUAGUUGUUUCUUCAUCCUCCUCCAAGUUAGCUCUCUGAAUGAGCAUCUCCAUCUCUUUAAAAUAUUCAUCCACCGUCCUACUACCUUGGAUAAGUCUUCUCAGCUUUGUUUUAAUUUCUCUAUAGUAGUGAGGUGGAAUAAACCUUUUACGCAUAAUCUGUUUCAACUAACACAAGAGAUGGAGAUGCUCAUUUUAAAUCUUUUACGCAUAAACCUUUUACGCAUAAACCUUGAAUUGUGCACACGUUUAAAUCCUACUAACACAAGAAACAAGAAGGUGUUAGAUAUUGUAAAGGGAGAAUAAAAAGCAAACAAAUGAAAACCUACAGCUAAGAAUCAAUAAAAAUUGCUAAAACCAGAAAACCCGAAAAAACUGCGGUGUAACUUGACAACUUCGUUCGAGGUGUUCCUGAUCUCCAAAAAUCACGAAAUUAAAUCUGGAAUGUCCAUAUAUAUUGAAUUUUUGAUCUGGAAAUUUUGGGCACCAAAUUCAACCCGCUGAAUCUUUUUUUAAUUUUUUAUUGAAUUUCGUAUUUUUUGAUUUUUUUGACUUUUUUGACUGAUUUUUUUGUGGGAUUAAUUUUUUUAUAUUCAAUAACAGUGCCAAAAAUAUGUAUGUAAAAUUUCAGAUCAAUUGGAUAACGUUUACCCACUUAAAUGAAUUUUUUUGAACACUUUUUCUGGGUAAAACUGCUGUUUGUGCUUUAAAAAAAUUGAGAUUAGUUUAGAAAUCAACCAAGAACACCCAAAACGCCCAAAAUCUGAUACCAAAUGAUAAAGAGAUGCGCGUGGACCAAGAUCGAGUUGCCAAGUCACGGGGAACUCCUACGAAAGCACUAACGAACAGAUCUGAAAUCAAACAAAGAACGAGAUUAAAUCUGGAAAAUUAAAAUCUGGAAUAAGAACCCUAAAAACAGCAAGAUCUAAUCAAGAAACGAAACACUUAUGAAAGAGGUUUCUUGAAACCAAGAACACGAAAUUGAUUCCCAAGAAUGAAUUCCCACAAGCCGAAUCUGUCAAAGAACACCAAAUCAGCAAGCAAAUUAGAUCGACCAGAAUUUCUUGAAACAAAUUAGGGUUUGUGCGUCAAAGAGAAAGAAAGAAAUUGAAGGCAUAAAACGGCUAUUGAGGCUGAGAAAGCGAGGGCAAUCUGCUCAAUUGACCACCACGAAAGUUUCCCCUAAGUUUCCACAACCAAAUUCACCCAAGAAGAAUAAGUGUGACUUCGGCAAGAACCCUAGAAUUUGGGGAUUUAGGGCUGAUUGUCGAACUCCAGCAAAAGGUGAAAUUGAUCAAUCUUUUAAGAUAAACGAGGGCUGAAAACACAAAUAAAACAGCAAAUAGAUUAGAAUUGAAAUUCGGCACAAGUAGAAUUAAAUAAAAGAAAUUGAACAGCAAAAAUUAAAGGAUAAGUCCUAAAGAUCCUUGAAAUCCCGAAAGAUUUCACAAAUAUCUUCAAACGGCUCUAAUCUCCCCUCCAAAGAACAUCGAUGGCAAGAAGAAGGUUGAAGAUGGCUCCCACAAUCAAAAGAUUGUUAAAACAACUUCUAAAGAAAGCUCAAGAGAGAAUUCUUGGAGAAAACCCCAAAGAAAAUUCUGCACUCUAACAAAUUGAAAUUUAAUGUAUUGAAUGAUAAUAAGAUGUGUUUACAAAGGGUGGCUGGCCAAUGCUUAUAUAGGCCUCCAACAAAUCCUAAUCUCACAAGUAACUAAUAAAAAUUAAACCUAAUUAAUAAAAUAACAAGGUAAAUUCGGCCAUGCACUUAUAUGGGCUGUUUUGGGCUGAAUUUCACAUGUAAUGCUCCUAAAGAUUAAAAAUUAAAUUAAACAAGUAAGAUGUUUACAAAUUGGGCCUGAUUUUCAACUAAGUAUGAAGUAAUUUCUUGAUUGGACUGGAUUUUGGUUAUUGGGUCUCGCCUUCAAGAAUUUGGGCUCGUGAUCCAUCUCCUACCAAAAUUGGGUCAUUGACGCUCGUAAUGGAGAUCCAAUAUGUUUUGGCUGCAAGAUUUGGUUUCUUGGACCAAGAUUUCCAAGAUUUGAAAUCUUGAUUUUCUUGAUUCUUGAAAUCUCUUCGAACAGCAAAAUUGGGCCAAGAUUCAGUUUCUUGAUUUUCUUGAAAACAAGAAAGUGAAUCUUGAUUUUCUUGUUCUCUCGUGUAUGCAUCUAAGGCCUUGCUAACAAGCUCUUGAAUGGUCCCAUUUAGUUUGGACCACAUUUUUCGGGCCUUUGAUCUCGUUAUUGGGCCUCGUGGCAAUUUGAGCCCAUCACGUUACGGCGCAUGGGCUAAAGCUCUCUCGAAUAUAGCCCUUUUCCAUGAGUUCGUUGACUUGAUGUUGAAGCUCUUUGGUUUCUUCGGGAUUGGUUUGGUAUGCUGGCCGGUUCGGAAUAACGGCUCUGAGCACAAUAUCGAUUUGGUGCUCAAUCCCACGAAGUGGUGGCAACCCACUUGGCACUUCAUCCAAAAAAACGUCUUUGAAAUCCUGCAAGAGAUUCAAAACAGAAGAAGGGGGAUCUCCGGAUAAGUUGUUAGUAUUAAACAAGUUUUCCUUAUACAUAAGUACAAGGAUCGGUUGUCUUGCCAAAAACGCCUUUCGAACAUCACUUUCUUUUGCAAAUACAUUCAAUUUUUCACUCACUUUUUCUUUUUCUUCUUUUUCUUUUCUCGAUUUCUUUUCACUCUCUUUUUUCAAGUUUUCUUUCUUUUUUUCAUUUUUCUUUUCUUUUUCUCUCAUUUGAUCUACGGAAUUUUUCAACUUAAGUUGAUCCUUAUAAACUUGCUUUGGCGUCAAUGGGGCUAAGGUUACAUUUCUUCCCAUAUGCUUGAAAGAAUAUCGAUUUGAGUAACCAUCGUGCAUGACUCGACAAUCGAAUUGCCAUGGAUGACCAAAUAGCAAAUGACCCGCGUGCAUUGGAACAACAUCGCAAAGCACUUCGUCGGAAUACUUCCCAAUGGAAAAUGAAACCAAAACUUGCUUCGUUACCUUUAACUCUCCCCCAUCAUUGAGCCAUUGAAGUUUGUACGGAUUUGGAUGCUUGGUGGUCGGUAGAUUUAACUUUUCCACCAUGAGAGUGCUUUCCACGUUCGUACAACUUCCUCCAUCGAUGAUAACACUACAAAGCUUUCCUUGUACUUGACAACGAGUAUGGAAGAUGUUCUCUCGUUGUUGUUCAUCUUCGAUGCUAUGAAUACUUAGGCUCCUUUUAACUACUAGGAGUUCUCCAUCAAGGGCGUGUUCCACCUCUUCUUCGUUAUCAGAAAUGUUUUCAGGCUCAUCUUCAAGUUCUUCUUCCUCCGAUUCUAUUUCUCCAUUUGCACGAACCACCAUUAUGUUGCGGUUGGGACAUUAACUUGCGAUAUGACCCCGUCCAAGGCACUUAAAACACUUAAUAUCCCUUGAACAAUUAGAAAAUGAAUCGGUUGCCUUACCUUUGUGAUACGACCUCGGUUUAGUAGUUGAAUCUGAGUCGUUUAGUUCCCGAUUGAAAACGAAGAAGUAUGUUUGAAUAAAUCAAUUCAAGAGAAAGUAAAGAGAAAUUGGGUUCAAAGAAAGCAUGUCGGUUGAACAAAGUUGGUAUGGUUUUGGUUUAGAUGAGAAAGAAUUGGUUUGGAUUUGGUCGAGUUCGGUUUUGGGUUUGUUACGAAAUGGUAAGGUGAUUUGGUUCGAAAUGGUAAUACAAUUUGGUACGAAAUGGUUAUGGUUCAAAAAGGUCAAGAAUUAACCAACACUAAAGAAGAGUGUUGACCCGAAACUUAUAAGACCUAAAUGAGUUGAAAUGGACGAUAAAGACCUUGACCCGAUACUUAGGAAAGUAUGAACCAAAGGUAUUUGGGGGUGAACACCACACUCAGGUUUAGGGAGUGAUAAGUUCGAAAUAAGACUCGAAAAGACGCCACUAGGAGCUAGAUAAGUCUUACGGGUCUCGUACGAAAUUUGAGAGAAAAUGCCUCACAAAUUUGGCAGCAAUUCGAUAAUUAAAAAUGUCCAAAAGUCCUUUACAAAGUGAAAAUUCAGCUAUUUAUAAUAAUCACCUAAGCUAGCCGAAUGGUCACUUAAUUACUUAAAAAUUAAGCAAAUGAAUCACUUAAAUGGACUAGCUAGAUUCGGCUGAACUUGGAGCUCCAAUAGUCACCUUCUAGAUGGAUAAUUGAACUUGGAACUUGAGUGAAUAAAUGGAAGCAGCUACAUUCGGUUGAUGUGCUUAAAGGAGCUCAUCUAAUUGGCAACCAUUGCUGAAAAAUUACCAGUAAUUAAGGAGAUGCUGAAUAGUCACUUUGAGUGUGAAAACCAAGUUUUAAAGAGUCCUUGAAUAUGAACACCUUGAAUCGAACAUCCAUGAUGUAUCCAGCAAUGUGUAAGCAAUAAAUUCAGCUGAAUGGUCACCUAGGAAACUUCAUACAGCAGCCAACUUCAUUUUCCCAUUCAUGCAUGUGCCGUCCCCUUCAUGUACCUUCUUUUAAUACCUUUCAUGCACCAAGGACGUUCAUGGGUAAUGUACCUGCAGCAACAUUCAUCAAAUAAAUCAAAUACAUGUUUAGACACAUUAAAUUAACACUAAAAAUGCUGCACAUUAAAUUCGGCAGCCUUAGGACAUAAUUAAAACAAGUAAUAAAGUUGGCACAUUAAAAACAUGUAUAAAAACAUAUUUAUAAGCUGUAUAAAUUAAGACAAAAUUAAUAACAUGUAAUAAUAACUCAAUUAACAUGCAUAAUUAAAUUUGUCCAGAUUUAAGACCAAUUAAAUAACGAAAAUUAAUUAAGCUGUAAAUAACUAAUUUAACUAACUCAAUUAAUUAUUUCAGCUACAAUAUUAAUGACCUAGUUAUAUUGAGCUAAUUUUGAGCUGGUUCGAGUUCAAUGAGCUGAAGUAAAAGUUAUUGAGCUGAAAUGGAGUUGAUUCGAGCUCAUUGAGCUUGAAAGAGCUGGAAAUGAGCUAAAUGAAGCUCCUCAAAAUAAAAUUGAGCUACGUCCAUCUUGCAAAAACGACUAGCCUCUCUUGUAGGUUGAAACAAUGGUCAUUCCCGGGGGCGGGUCGUAUCACUUUGCUCGUGUCGCCCAUAGGUUUGUUUGCCUUUGCAGGCACCAUUGGCUCCUUGGCACGACUUGGUGGAUUAGUUUUACUCGAACUUUGCCCCCAUCUAUUUGUGCUUGGGGUAGGAUAACUUCGAGUGGUACUCUUUCGUUUAAGUUGCUUCUCUACCUUAAUGGCCAUAUGUACCAUGUCCACGAUCUCUAUGUAAUGUUGCAACUCCACAACGUUGACAAUGUCUCGAUUGAGACCAGCAAGGAAUCGUGCCAUCGUUGCUUCACAAUCUUCUUGGACAUCAGUACGGAUCAUCAUAAUCUCCAUCUCUUUGAAAUAAUCCUCAACACUCCUUGAACCUUGGGUGAGAUUUUGAUGUUUUUGAUAGAGUUCCCGAUGGUAGUAGGAGGGAAUAAAAUGACAUCGCAUCACGGCCUUCAUCUCAGCCCAAGUGGAUAUUGGCCGUUCCCCAUCCCUUCUUCGGCUCGUAGUGAGGUGAUCCCACAAAAUCAUGGCGUAAUCGGAGAACUCUAUGGCCGCCAACUUCACCUUCUUGAUUUCAGAAUAAUUGUGACAAUCAAAGACCAAUUCAAUCUUUUUUUCCCACUCCAAGUAGGCUUCCAGAUCAGAUUUUCCUUGAAAGGAUGGAAUGGAAAGUUUAAUGUUCUUCAAAUCGUCAUCCACACGUCUUUGAUCCCGAUUGCCUCGGUUCCUUGGACCUCUUCGUCCUUCACUUAAGUUUGACCCUUGAUCACUUUCGGCUCCACUCGGAUCAUAGAGGUCAUCUUGAUUGAUUUCCAUUUGGCCUCGCUCUCUUUGUGGCCGUUGGGGUGUACGUUCCUAUUGAGUCCUCUCUUCAACUCGUUCCAAACGCUCGUUAAAGGAUUCCAUCUCUUCACGAAGCAUGCGUCGAAAUUCUCGCAUCAUGGCUUGUUGAGCCAAAUCUGGCACUCCACCUCCUCCAGGCGCAAUGAUACGGGGUUGCGCGCGGACCAAGAUCGAGUUGCCAAGUCACGAGAAACUCCUACGAAAACCCUAAACAAUUAGAUCUGAAAAGAAACAGAAAAUUAAAAGAUUAGAUUUUUAAAUUUUCAGAUCUGAAAUAAAAUCCCCAAAACAGUAAAGAAUCAAAUAGAGAAUAGAAAUAAGUGUUAAUAAAGAAUCUUGAAACCCUAGAAGAGAUUACGAUUCUGCCCAAUUGAACACCCAGAUAGUUUUCCCCAAAUUUCGGCAAUCUAAUUUCUCCCAAAAAAGAGUAUGGAUGAAUCGGCAAGAACCCUAGAAAUUGGGGAUUUUUGGGCUAAUUCCUUAAGAUAGAAAAAGGCUGAAAACACAAUAAGAACAGAAAAUAAAUUAGAUAAAGAUUCGGCACAAGCAGAAAUAAAGAAAGAAUUGACAAUAAGAAAUUAAAAGAUAAGUCCUAAGAAGCCUUGAAAUCCCGAAAGAUCUCACAACUCCCUUCAAACGGCUCUAAUCUCCCCUCCAAAGAAUAUCAAUGGCAAGAAGAAGGUUGAAGAUGGCUCCCACAAUCAAAAAGAUUGUUAAAACAACUUCUAAAGAAAACUCAAGAGAGAAAUCUUGGAGAAAACUCAAAGAAAAUUCUGCUCUCAACAAAUCUGAAAUUUUAAUAAUAAUGAUAAGUGUUUAACAAGGUGGACAGCCAUGCCUUUAAAUAGGCCUUAUAACUAGUCCUAAUCUAAUUAGAAAACUAAAAUAAAAAAAACUCCUAAUUAUUUUAAUAUGGAAAUUCGGUCAAAGGUCAUUUUAUCUGGGACUCUUGGACUGAAUAUUGACAUAAAAAUUUAAACAAAGUAAAUAAAUAAAUAAAUAAAUAAAAAUAAAAAUAAAACUUUACAACUUGGGCCACUUUGACAAUUUGGCCUGAUUUUCAACUAAGUAUGGAUGGAUUUCUUGAUUGGGCUGGGAAUUUGCUUAUUGGGCCUCGCCUUCAAGAAUUUGGGCUUUUGUGACUCGUAUCAUUCCCCCCUUCCUCAAAAAGAUUCGUCCUCGAAUCUGAAAAAUCAAAUGAACUCGACUUUCCUCUAUCGAACGGGACUAAUGGCAAUUGAGUCCACACUGCCUCGUCAAAUAUUUGAAACAAAGAUGGACAUGUUUUAAGGCAUUCAGUCGUCUCACAUUGUUCCCACAAACCAUGAAUAAAUUGCGAGUAAUAAAUCAAAUGGUAAACAUAAUCGUCACAAGUAGGUAUUAGAAAAGAUUCACAUGGUUCACAGAGUUGCAUAAUCAUACCAUGCAUUAAUCGACGGUCUAUAGAUUCACUCACACAUGCAUUAUCAAAAACAAGAAUCUUUUUAUCAACCAUCAAAACAGAUAGAUCAUCAAUAAAUAAAAUAGGACAGUCAAGCACGUUUCGAUCUAAGUGUUCAUCAACACAAUCUUUAUCACUAUCCGAGGAGUACAAAAGUGUUUCAAAGGUUUCAAGCAUCUUACCUCGAUAAGCAGAAGAAUAAGGGUCGAUUUUACCUUUUUCAUUUAAAACAAACCUUCGCUCAUCGGGGGCAUAGUGUAGUCGAAUCUUCGUUGUUGAGUUAAUGUUUGUCAAAUGGAACUCAAACUUCAUGUACAACCACAUAAACUGUUUAAGGCACGAAUAUAAAUUGAAAACAAAUUUGGAAAAUUUCGUUACCUUAUUCUCCAAAACAGAUUUGGACAAAUUCAAGGAUUUUACACAAGGUAAAUCAAGAGAAUAACAAAUCACGCUUCUUUUCGUAAUGACUUUAUCAACCACAAUCGAAGAGUAACAAUUAAUCGGAUCAAAAUGAGGGGAUCUUUUAAGAACUAAGUCACCAAAAGUUUUAUCAAUAAUUUUCAAAUCUGCACUGGACUCGGUUUCUAAAAUUUCCUUACCUCGCUUACCUUCGGGAUCAUGUAGUGUGAUUUCAUCUUUGCUUAAGUUGAUCGUAUGAAAGCGUCUUUCAUUUGAGAGGUAUUGAAGUUGAAAGUUAUCUUUCGAUCUUUCGGGAACCUGAAAAGUAGCAACACAAGAAAAAUUCAUAUCUUGGUUAGUUGAAACAUUCCUCACUAGCCUUUCCUCGUCUUUUUCUUUUGUUUCUUUUUCUAACUCAUUUUCUCUUCUUUCUUUAACUUCUUUUUCAAUUUUCUUUUCUGUUUCACAUUCCUUUUCACUCUCAAUCUCUUUUUGCUCUUUUUCAUUCUCUUUUUCUUUUUCCUCACUUGUUUUAACAAAAUUUUUCAGUUUGAUUUGGUCCUCAUGGACUUGUUCUAGAGUGAGCGGCACUAAGGUGAGUUUCUUUCCUUGAUGCUUGAGAGAAUACCUAUUGGUACGACCAUCGUGAGUGACUUUUCGAUCUAGUUGCCACGGUUCUCCUAGCAACAAAUGGUAGGCUUGAAUAGGCAUUACGUCGCACACAACUUCGUCUUGAUACUUACCGAUAGAAAAGGCGAUGCGCACUUGUUGAGUGACCCUAAAUUGGCCUUCGUUGCUAAGCCCUUGUAGUUGAUAAGGUUGUGGAUGCUUGGUAGUGGUUAAGCAAAGCUUUUCCACCAUCGUCGUGCUGGCUAUGUUCGAGCAACUUUCACCAUCAAUAAUAACUCUACAAAGCUUACCUUGUACGUGGCAGCGAGUAUGAAAGAGAUGUUCUCGUUGCUGCUCACUCUUUGGUUUUGCCAAAGAUGAUUGUCCAUGAUCAUGACAAUCAUCAUCCAUUCUAGGGACACGUUGAGGGUUGCACCUAUGGGGCUGGUUAUCCCUAUCUUCCUUAAUUGGAUCUCGAUAUUGAUGUUUUUGAUUCACUCGUACCUCAUUCAAAGUAGUAUUCAAUGCUUGAAGUGUAGCAUUUAUUUGUGUGAUUGCAGCAGUAUGUCUGUCUAACUGUUGUUGGACUUUCAUAAGUGCAUCAUUAUUAUCACCUUUAGACAUCUUCAAAACCUGUAAAAAAUAAACACUCAACACUCAAAAAUAAAAGUUAGCAAACCUCACCAUUAAUCACUCAAAAAGAAAAAUCAAAUUCUCAAUGAGGUCGAAUUCAAUCUUGUGAGUUCUUUAUCAGAGUUUAUAUCAACCAAUUAGAGAGUGUGAACCAAACUACCAAAGAAUCCUAAUUUGCACUAGGAUGUCAAAAACUGACGAGACACCAAGUGAUUCGUGUUGCACCGAGGAAGGAUUGUGCACACGUUUAAAUCCUACUAACACAAGAAACAAGAAGGUGUUAGAUAUUUUAAAAGGAUAAUAAAAAGCAAACAAAUGAAAACCUACAGCUAAGAAUCAAUAAAAAUUGCUGAAAACAGAAAACCCGAAAAACUGUGGAGUAACUUGACAACUUCGUUCGAGGUGUUCCUGAUCUCAAAAAAUCACAAAAUUAAAUCUUGAAUGUCCUUAAAUAUUUAAUUUUUGAUCUGGAAAGUUUGGGCACCAAACUCAACCCGCUGAAUUUUUUUAAAAUUUUUAUUUGAUUUCGUCUUUUUUUCGAUUUUUUUGACUUUUUGACUGAUUUUUUUGCGGGAAUAAUUUUUUUAUAUUCAAUCACAGUGCCAAACACAUGUAUGUAAAAUUUCAGAUCAAUUGGACAACGUUUACCCACUCAAAUGAAUUUUUUUGAACAAUUUUUCUGGGUAAAACUGCUGUUUAUGCUUUAAAAAAUAGAGAUCAGUUUAGAAAUCAACCAAGAACACCCAAAACGCCCAAAAUCUGAUACCAAAUGAUACGGGGUUGCGCGCGGACCAAGAUCGAGUUGCCAAGCCACGAGAAACUCCUACGAAAACCCUAAACAAUUAGAUCUAAAACGAAACAGAAAAUUAAAAGAUUAGAUUUUUAAAUUUUCAGAUCUGAAAUAAAAUCCCCAAAACAGUAAAGAAUCAAAUAGAGAAUAGAAAUAAGUGUUAAUAAAGAAUCUUGAAACCCUAGAAGAGAUUACGAUUCUGCCCAAUUGAACACCCAGAUAGUUUUCCCCAAAUUUCGGCAAUCUAAUUUCUCCCAAAAAAGAGUAUGGAUGAAUCGGCAAGAACCCUAGAAAUUGGGGAUUUUUGGGCUAAUUCCUUAAGAUAGAAAAAGGCUGAAAACACAAUAAGAACAGAAAAUAAAUUAGAUAAAGAUUCGGCACAAGCAGAAAUAAAGAAAGAAUUGACAAUAAGAAAUUAAAAGAUAAGUCCUAAGAAGCCUUGAAAUCCCGAAAGAUCUCACAACUCCCUUCAAACGGCUCUAAUCUCCCCUCCAAAGAAUAUCAAUGGCAAGAAGAAGGUUGAAGAUGGCUCCCACAAUCAAAAAGAUUGUUAAAACAACUUCUAAAGAAAACUCAAGAGAGAAAUCUUGGAGAAAACUCAAAGAAAAUUCUGCUCUCAACAAAUCUGAAAUUUUAAUAAUAAUGAUAAGUGUUUAACAAGGUGGACAGCCAUGCCUUUAAAUAGGCCUUAUAACUAGUCCUAAUCUAAUUAGAAAACUAAAAUAAAAAAAACUCCUAAUUAUUUUAAUAUGGAAAUUCGGUCAAAGGUCAUUUUAUCUGGGACUCUUGGACUGAAUAUUGACAUAAAAAUUUAAACAAAGUAAAUAAAUAAAUAAAUAAAUAAAAAUAAAAAUAAAACUUUACAACUUGGGCCACUUUGACAAUUUGGCCUGAUUUUCAACUAAGUAUGGAUGGAUUUCUUGAUUGGGCUGGGAAUUUGCUUAUUGGGCCUCGCCUUCAAGAAUUUGGGCUUUUGUGACUCGUAUCACGCAACGUUUCGGAUUGGUUGUCUUCCACCUCCUUCUGCCGUAUUUUGUUUAGGACUUUAGACAUGAAAUUAAAACCUCACAGCAAAAACCUCACGAAUCUCUCGAAAAGAAAAGAUGGUGUCACUCACACUCGUGUUUGCACUCGUUCUUGGCUUUUAACUUGAUGUAACUCUCGUGCCUUUUUCCACUCAAUUUCCUCUCGUGAUUUUGUAGUAGACUCGAUGUGACAAUAUCUUAGUCUAGAGGAUCGGCUUCAAAUUGGUUCACAAGGACUUGAUGAUAGGUUAUGGGUAGGCUAAAAGAAACAAUAAAGGCUUUAGGCUAAGUGUGGCGUAGAAGAAUAGAAGAUGAGUAGAAAGAAGUAUCAGACUUACAACCUCGAAACACUUCCUCAAUUUCAACACUUGAAUCACAACACCUUUUUUUUUUAAUUCACGAAUUUUUUUUAAUUUCAAUUCACUUUUUUUAAUUUCGUAUAUAUAUUCAAAUUUCAAAUUUUUUUUUCAAAUUUUUUUACGUACCUAUUUCAAAAUGUCUUCGAGUUCUUGUACUUCUCGUUUUAACCAGCUCUGAUACCAAAUGAUAUGACCUCAGUUUAAUAAUAAUUUCGAGUUGUUUAGUUCUCGAUCGUAAACGAAGAAGUAUAAUAUAAAAGAAGAAGAGAAAAUAUAAUUGAAUUCAAGAAAUCAAGUAGGUUCGAUUAAAGAUGGAUGUGGAUUUGGUUUAAAGUAAGAAUGGUAUGAUUAGGGAUGGUCGAGUUCGAUUUUAGGAUUAAUUAAGAAAUGGAUUUGGUUUAGGUUUGGAUUGAAAUUGGGAAUUGGUUUGGGUUUGGUUCGAAAUGGUAAUGUAAUUUGGUACGAAAUGGAAAUGGUUCAAAAAGGUCAAGAGUGAACCAACACUAAAAAAGAGUGUUGACCCGAAACUUAUAGGACCUAAAUGAGUUGAAAUGGUUGAUAGGGACCUUGACCCGAUACUUAGGAAAGUAUGAACCAAAAGUAUUACGGGUGAAUGCCACACUCGGGUUUAGGGAGUGAUAAGUUGAAUAAAAGACUCGGAAAGACGCCACUAGUAGCUAGAUAAGUCUUACGGGUCUUGAACGAAAUUUGAGAGAAAAUGCCGCACAAAUUUGGCAGCAAUUCGUUAAUUAAAAUGUCAAAAGUCCUUUACAAAGUAAAAAUUUAGCUAUUUAUAAUCAGCACCUAAGCUAGCCGAAUGGUCACUUACAUUCCUUAAAAAUUAAGCAAAUGAAUCACUUAAUUGAACUAGAUAGAUUUGGCUGAACAUGGAGCUCCACUAGUCACCUUCUAAAUGGAACAAUGGACUUGGAAGAACUUGGAUGAUGCAUGGAUUGCUAGGUUCGGCCAAUGAGAAUAAAUUAGCUCAUUUAUGUUACAACUUUUGGCUGAAAAGUGACCAGCAAUUAAGACGGUAAUGAGCAGCCAAUUCAAAUGUGAAAACUCAACAUUGAAGAGUCAUGGAGUGUGAACACAUGGAGCCGAAAAGCCAAGAUGCAUCCAGCAAAUGUGAAAGGAUUAAUUGGCAGCUUUGGAGUUGGAAACAUUAGCUCCCUUGGCCGAAUAGUCACCUAGGAAUGUUGAAUUCAGCUCACCAAUUUGAUGCAUGUAUCGCUAGGUGCAAUGUACCUAUCAUGCAUGCACCUUGCUAAAUGAAUCUCCACAUUCGGCUAACCUUGCUAAAUGAACCCCCACAUUCGGCCAACCUACAUAAAUAAGAUGAACUAAUAUUAAUGUGAUAUUUAGUUGAACAAAAUUAAGAAUAAAACCUUGACACAUUAAUUCGGUCAACAAUGACACUAAAAUCAGUUCAUUAAAUUCGGCAGCCUUAAUUCAAAAUUAAAUCAUGUAAUAAAACUUGACAUAUUAAAAACAUGCAUAAAACAUAUUAAUAAGUUGUAAUAAACUAAUUUAGUUGACUCAAAUAAAUAUUUCAGCUACUAUAUUAAUGUCUAGUUGAUAUUGAGCUGAAUUGUAAGUGUUUGAGCUGAAAUUGAGCUGAUUCGAGCUCAUUGAGCUGGAAUGGAAGUUAAUUCAACUCGUAUUAGAGUGCAAGGAAUGCUCAUCGAGUUGGUCCAAGCUUCUUCGAUGUGCCCAACCAAAAUCUCACCCCAAACUUUGUCUACCAAAGCCGAAAUAGCCUCCUUGAAUUGUUUAGCUCGUGAUCGGGUGAUAGGACCUUGAGGCAGCUCCAAAGGUUCGUUGUUCGAGCUAGGUAGGACUUGAGGCAUGGCCGUAUCACCAAGAGAGAAUUCUUGGAGAAAAACUCAAAGAGAAUUCUGCACUUAAACAAAUCUGAAUUUUUUGAUAUAUUUGAGGAGUGAAUAACAAGGUGGCUGGCCAAGCCUUUAUAUAGGCCUCUCAAGUGUUUUCCUAAUCUAAUUAGAAAACUAAAAACAAAAAAACUCCUAAUUACUUUAAUAUUUAAAUGGAAAUUUGGCCAAGGGCUUUUAAUUGAGCCUCUUAGACUGAAUAUUUACAUAAAAAUUUAAACUAAGUAUUAAAAAAAUAAAACUUUACGAAUUGGGCCACUUAGACAAUUUGGCCUGAUUUUCAAUUGAGUAUGGGUGGGCUUCUUGAUUGGGCCUGGAAUCUUCUCAUUGGGCCUCGCCUUCAAGAAUUUAGGCUUGUGAUCCAUCUCCUACCGAAAUUGGGCCGUUGAUGCUCGUAACAGAUAUCCAAUGCACUUUGGCUACAAGAUUCGGUUUCUUGGACCAAGAUUUCCAAGAUUUGAAAUAUUGAUUUUCUCGAUUCUUGAAAUCGCUCCGAACAGCAAAAUUGGGCCAAGAUUCGGUUUCUUGAUUUUCUUGAAAACAAGAAAGUGAAUCUUGAUUUUCUUGUUCUUUCGCGUACGCAUCUAAGGCCUUGCUAACAAAUUCUUGAAUGAUCCCAUUUAGUUUGGAACGCAUUUGUCGGGCCUUUGAUCUCGUAUCAGACAUUUUUUUUAAACUUCGAUUUUUUUUAAUACUCCAAUACAAUAGUAAGCUAAAUACAAGAGAACUUGGUUCUAUAAAUAGUUGUGUUUAUUUUCAUUGUAAAGAACUUUUGACCUUUUUUUUGAAUGAACUAUUGUUCCUGUGAGGUUUUCUCCUCUCCAAUUUCGUACGAGUCUCGAGUGACUUAUCUAGCGAGCUAGUGGCGUCAACCCGACUUUUUGAACUUAUCACCAUCCUGAUGUGGCGUUCAUCCACCUUUUUAUACCUUUGGUUCUUACUUCUUCAUAAGUAACGGGUCAAGGUCCAUCCUCGAUAUUCCAUUUAUUCCACCUUAAGCAAUAUAAGUCCCGGGGCAAUAGUUCACAUAGUAUUGAAUCGAUCUUGACACUUGAGUUUGUAUUUCCAUUUAAUUUUUAUUUAUCAAUCUAUAAGUUAUUUUCUUUGUUAAACCAAAAUCUAUUGAUAGAGGGUUGCGCGUGGACCAAGAUCGAGUUGUCAAGUCACGAGAAACUCCUACGAAAACUCUAAACAUUUGGAUCUGAAACGAAACAGCAAAACUUAAUUAGAAUCAAUUAGAUCUGGAAACUAAAAAUCCCCAAAUCAAUAAAGAACAGCCAAGAAUCAAAACACUUAUGAAUAGAUGUUCUUAGAAGCCAAGAACACGAAAUUAAGCCCCAAGAUUAACUUCUAAUCAGCCGAAUCUAUCAAAGAACACAAAACAGAAAAUAAAUUAAAACAGAUUACGAAAUCAAUUGAAACUAAUUCUAGGGAUUGGACGGCAAGAAAAGAGGGGGUUUUUGUGAAAUAAAAAACGUUUCUUUAUGUCCAAGGAAGGGUCGAAUCAGAUCUUGGAGUUUUGGAAAGGCUGAAACGCAACAAGAACAGCAAACAAAUUAGCUAAUAAAAAUCGACACAAGCAGAAAUUUAAUAGAAAUUGAAUAGCAAGAAGGUAAAGAUAAAGUCCUAAGAAGCCUUGAAAUCGAUAAAGAUUUCACAACUCCCUUCAAACGGCUCUAAUCUCCCCUCCAAUGAAGAACAAUGGCAAGAAGAAGGCUGAAGAUGGCUUCCACAAUCAAAAAGAUUGUUAAAACAACUUCUAAAGAAAACUCAAGAGAAAAUUCUUAGAGAACUCAAAGAGAAUUUUCACUCAAAGCAAAUCUGAAAUUUUUAAUAUAUUUGAGAAGUAUAAUGUGUAUAAGGGUGGCUGGCCAAGCCAUACAUAUAGGCCUUCUAACUAUUUUCCUAGUCCUAAUAGGAAAACUAAAAAAAAACCUAAUUUUUUUUACUUUCAAGGGAAUUUCGUCCAAGGCCCUUAAUGGGCCUCUUUGGGCCAAAUUUUUACAUAGAAAUUUAUUUAUAAAGUCUAAAAAUUAAAACUAAGUAUUUAAAGAAUUAAAAUUUUACAAAUUGGGCCACUUUGACAAUUUGGCCUGAUUUUCAACUAAGUCUGAUUUAAAUUUCAGGAUUGGGCUUGGAACAUCUUAUUGGGCCAUGUCUUCAAGAACUUGGGCUUGUAAUCCGUUCUCUCCCAAAAUUGGAUUGUUAAUGCUCGUAACUGAGAUCCAAUGCACGUUAGUUGUAAGAUUCGGUUUCUUGGGCAAGAUUUCCAAGAUUUGAAAUCUUGAUUUCCUUGAUUCUUGAAAUCGCUCAAAACAACAAAAUUGGACCAAGAUUCGGUUUCUUGAUUUUCUUGAAAACAAGAAAGUGAAUCCUGAUUUUCUUUUUCCUUCGUAUACACAUCUAAGGGCUUUGUGACUCGUAUCAUUCCCCCUUCCUCAAAGAGAUUCGUCCUCGAAUCUGAAAAAUCAAAUGGAGAUAAGUCAACCACAUUGAAAGCAGAACUUGUAGUCCAAACAUAAGCAUAACAAAACAAGUAUAACGCAUGCGAAUGGAUAGAUUUAGAUUACCAUGCAAACAAGCUAAUUUACUCGCCAAUGCCUCGUCAAAUAUUCGAAACAAAGAUGGACAUGUUUUAAGGCAUUCAAUCAUCUCAAAUUGUUUCCACAAACCAUGAAUAAAUUGCAAGUAAUAAAUCAAAUGGUAAACGUAAUCAUCACAAGUAGGUAUGAAAAGGUUCACACGGUUCACAGAGUUGCACAAUCAUACUAUGCAGUAAUUGACGGUCUAUAUAUUCACUCAAACAUGCAUAUCAAAAACAAGAAUCUUUUUAUCAACCAUCAAAACAGAUAGAUCAUCACUAAAUAAAAUAGGACAGUCAAGCACAUUUCGAUCUAAGUGUUUUAGAAAAAUUAAAUCAUCAACACGAUCUUUGUCACUAUCCGAGGAGUACAAAAGUGUUUCAAAAGUUUCAAGCAUCUUACCUUUAUAAGCAGAAGAAGAAGGGUCGAUUUUACCUUUUCCAUUUAAUACAAACCUUCGCUCAUCGGGGGCAUAGUGUAGUCGAAGCUCUGUUGUUGAGUUAACCUUUGUCAAAUGGAACUCAAACUUCAUGUACAACCACCUAAAUUGUUUAAGGCACGACUAUAAAUUGAAAACAAAUUUGGCAAAUUUCGUUACCUUAUUCACCAAAACAGAUUUGCACAAAUUCGCAGAUUUUACACAAGGCAAAUCAAGAGAAUAACAACUCACGCUUCCUUUCGUAAUGACUUUAUCAACCACAAUUGAAUUAAUCAGAUCAAAAUGAGUGGAUAUUUUAAGAAUUAAGUCACCAAAAUUUUUAUCAAUAAUUUUCAAAUCUGCACGGGACUCGGUUGAUAAAAUUUCCUUACCUCGCUUACCUUCGGGCUCAUGUAGUGUGAUUUCAUCUUUGCCUAUGUUGAUCGUAUGAAAGCGUCUUUCAUCAGAAAUGUAUUGAAGUUGGAAGUUAUCUUUCAUAUGUGGCCAAUGGAAGUGUUCUAUCCCACACAAAGGUGGUAAACCUUUAGGGGCUGAUACAGCCACGCCCCGAGUGCAUUUUUUGGACCAGCCCCAUAAUUAUUGUGUGCACAUCCAUGCGAGCUGAAUUAGCUCAAUGCCAUCUCGCUGAGCUCCGUUUAGCUCGUUUCUAGCUCAAUGGGCUCGUUUUGCUCAUUUUGAGUUUAUUUUAAUUUCAUUUGCUGAAAUAACUUGAAUAAGUUAGUUUAUUUAUUUAUUUCAGCUCAAAUAAGUGUUAGUAUUAAAUUUGAUAAAAUUGGACCUUUUAAUUAGAUGUUUUAAAUAAGUUUUAUUUUAUGUUUUUAAUGUGUCCUAUUUUCAUACAUAGCAAAAAUAUGUCUAGGCUAUUAUGAUGUGACCACGCCCCAAGCCCCAUCAAGUCCUCGUCUUGAUUCCCUCGAGCUUCUAAACGGACCAAUGACCCGAGCUAGGUCCAAGCGAUUUCAUGAAGUUGUUUCAGCUUUGUUGUUCAAGUUUUGGAAGGAGAAUCAGCUUGUUGAAGAUGAGGAAGCUCGAUCCAACUCCUUGAAGAAACCAUGCACCUUAGUGCAAGCUAAUUUCAGCUCAAUUCCAGCUCCCUUAGCUCAAUUCGACUUUAAUAAGCUCACUUGAGCUCAAUUCCACCUAUUAGAGCUCAAUUUAGCUUCUUUCCAGCUCGUUAAUUUUAUUAUUUGAAUAAUUUGAGUGAUAGUUUUAUUUUAAUUAUUUUUGCUACAGCUCAUAACCGAAUUUUCUAGCUCAAUUCAGCUCAUCAAGAAUUUCGACUAUCAUUGAGCUAGCCGAAUUUAUUAUUAAUUAUAUUUUAUUUAUGUCUUUAUUUUAAUUUGUUAAAUAUGUCUUGAUAUUAUUUAAUUUAAGCUGAAUGUACCUUGAAUCUAAUUUGUUUAUAUCUUUUGUAGGUACAUCCACAUGUGGGAACACAAUUAAUGAGGAUUCAUGAACAUUUAUGGUUCAAAGUAUGUUCGGGUACAUGCAUGACUACCUACAACGAAUGGUUGCCUUAAAGAUGAUGCAUGAAUGAUUUAAUACAAUGAAUGGAAGAAUGCAUGAAUAUUCACUUACAUGCAUCGGUUGCUGUCCAUUGAUUCCUAAGUACCUAUUCGACCAAAAGGCAUCUCUUGGAGUGUCCAUUCACACCUUGGCCGAACCUAGACAUGUCCAUUGCUCUCCCAUACAUUCACCAAGCCUUCAAGUUCAUUUCCUUAGCCAUGAAGCUGCCCAUUGAAGUACCAUUCAGCCGAAUUUGGACAUAGCCUUUAAAGAUACAUUUCUAGAUUAGUUUAAUUCAAUUAAAGCCGAAUUUACUUAGUCUAUUUGGCUAUCUAAUGUAAUCUAUAAAUAGUUCUUUUCUCUUUGUAAAAAGGUUAGACAAUUCUGAUUAUUAAACUUGAUUGUGAGGUUUCCUCCUAUCCUAUUUCGUACGAGUCUCGUUCUGACUUAUCUAGCUCGCUAGUCGCGUCAAACCGACUCCUUGAACUUAUCACCAUCCUGGUGUGGCGUUCAUCCACCUUUUUAUACCUUUGGUUCCUACCUCUCUAUAGGUAACGGGUCAAGGUCCAUCUUCGACUUCCAUUAAACCCACCCUAAGCAAUAUAAGUCCCGGGGCAAUACUUUACAUGGUAUUGAAUCGUUCUUCGCUUGAGUUCAAUUUCCAUUCCAUUUUAUCUAUCUACUUAAACUUUAUUUUCUUUGUUAAACCGAACCUAUCCAUUCUCCAAACCAAGCCAUUUUUGAACCUUUUUAAUUACUUCCGCUUAAAACAACUCCAUAAAGUUAUCUCCAUUCGACAUCAACCAAUACUUCUCGUCGACGAUCGGGUAACUUAAAUGAACUCGACUCCAUCAACCGAGCCGAAUCACAUCAUUUGGUAUUAGAGCUACUAAAACGAGGAGCGCCGACAUUCGUAAUAAGGCCGCAAGUAGGUUCGAAACGUGAAAAAAAUCAAAAAAAAAUUGAGUUGUAAUUUAUUUUUUUUUCCCUUGUAUUUAGCUUACUAUUGUAUUGGAGUAACAAAAAAAAUCAAAAAAAAAUUCGAAAAAAAAUUUGAUUGAAAAAAAAAAUUCAAAAAAAGUGAAAAAAAAUCGAGCAAAAAAAAAGAAAAAAAAAGGUGAGCAAAAAAAAUCAAGUUAAAAAAAAGUGAAAAGUCUUGCGAGUUUUUAUCUUCUUCUCUUAUUUACUCCGAUCAUCAAGUUUCCCUUCCUACCAUUAUUUACCCAUUCCAACGCCGCACUUAGCCUUGAUUUUAUUUUGUUUAGCCUACCCUACACCCACAUCAUUCCUUUGUAACCUAUUUUGACACCGACCCUCAAGCAGCAAAUUAAGUCUAUCGAGACGAAUUACAAAAUUAUGAGACGAGGUUGAGAGGUAAAAGGCAUGUGUGUUUUACAUCAAAGAAAAAGCCUAGAAGAGUGUAAACACGAGCGUGUGCAACAAAUAUUUUUCUUUCUGAGUGAACCGUGAGUUUUUGUAAGUGAGGAAAAUUUUACUUAUGUCUAGAAGUUUUAAUGAAAAUAUGGCAGAAAGACAACCCGUACGAAAUGUGCCAGAUUUAAAUAUGCAAGCAAUGUUGCGCGAGUUUGAACGAUUAUUUGAUAAAAAAUUGGAACCAAUUCAAGAUCGUCUUGAUCAAGUGGAAAUGAGAGGCCGCCGAGGAAGGACUCCUCUAAGUCCACCUAGAAAUCGAAGACAAUUUCAAGACAAUAAAGUUUCUGAACCAAGUGGGGCCGAAAGUGAUCAAGGUUCAAACGUUAGUGAACGAAGGAGAGGUCGACGACAUCAUGGAUCACGAGAACAAGAAAGGUAUGAUGACGAUCUUAAAAGUAUUAAACUAACUAUUCCUCCUUUCCAUGGACGUUCAGAUCCGGAAGCUUAUUUGGAAUGGGAGAAGAAAAUUAAGUUAGUGUUUGAGUGCCACAAUUAUUCCGAGGCAAAGAAGGUUAAAUUGGCAGCCAUUGAAUUUUCAGAUUAUGCAAUGAUUUGGUAGGACCAAUUUGUCAUGAGUCGAAGGUGAAAUGGCGAGCGUCCUAUCACCACUUGGACCGAGAUGAAAGCUGUGAUGCAGCUGAUACUAUCUUGGUUUAGUAGUUGAGUCUGAGUCGUUUAGUUCCCGAUCGUAAACGAAGAAGUAGAAUAGACGAGAAGGAGUUAGAAUAUAUUUGUGUUCAAAGAAGUAAGAUAAGUUCGUGCAAAGUUGGAUGUGGAUUUGGUUUAAGUCGAAAAGGUAUGAAUAGAAUGGACGAGUUCGGUUUAGGAUAAUUAAGAAAUGGUAUUUGGUUUUGGUACGUUUUGGUAUUUGGGAAUUGGUUCGAAAUGGUAUGGAAUUGGUACGAAAUGGUAUGGUAUUUGGUACGAAUUGGUAAUGGUUCAAAGAGGUCAAGAAUGAACCAACACUAAAGAAAAGUGUCGACCCGAAACUUAUAGGACCUAAAUGAAUUGGAAAUGGUUGAAAAGGACCUUGACCCGAUACUUAGGAAAGUAUGAACCAAAGGUAUCAAAGGUGAAUGCCACACUCGGGUUUAAGGAGUGAUAAGUUCGGAAAAGACUCAGAAAGACGUCACUAAAAGCUUAGAUAAGUCUUACGGGUCUCGAACGAAAUUUGAGAGAAAAUGCCUUACAAAUUUGGCAGCAAUUCGCUAAUUAAAUUGUCAAAAAGUCCCUUACAAAGUGAAAAUUCAGCUAUUUAUAAUAAUCCACUAGGCUAGCCGAAUGGUCACUUAAAUUCCUUAAAAAUUAAGCAAAUGAAUUACUUAAAUGGGCUAGCUAGAUUCGACUGAACUUGGAGCUCCAAUGGUCACCUUCUAGAUGGACAAUUGAACUUGGAGCUUGAGGGAGUAAAUGGCAGCAGCUACAUUCGGUUGAUGUGCUUAAAGGAGCUCAUUUAAUUGGCAACUAUUGCUGAAAAAUUACCAGCAAUUAAGAAGAUGUUGAGUAGUCACUUUGAGUGUGAAAACCAAGUUUUGAAGAGUCUUUGAAUGUGAACACCUUGAUCCGAACAGCCAUGAUGUAUUCAACAGUGUGUAAGCAAUAAAUUCGGCUGAAUGGUCACUUAGGAGACUUCAAACAGCAGCCAACUUCAUUCUCCCAUUCAUGCAUGUGCCGUCCCCUUCAUGUACCCUCUUUUAAUACCUUUCAUGCUCCAAAAACGUUCAUGGAUGAUGUACCUGCAGCAACAUUCAUCAAAUAAUUCAAAUUCAUGUUUAGACACAUUAAAUUAACACUAAAAUGCUGCACAUUAAAUUCGGCAGCCUUAGGACAUAAUUAAAACAAGUAAUAAAGUUAACAUAUUAAAAACAAGCUUAAAAACAUAUUUAUAAGCUGUAUAAAUUAAGACAAAAUUAAUAACAUGUCAUAAUAACUAAAAUAUCAUGCAUAAUUAAGUUUGACCAGAUUUAAGACCAAUUUAAUAACGAAAAUUAAUUAAGCUUGUAAAUAACUAAUUUAACUAACUCAAUUAAUUAUUUCAGCUACUAUAUUAUUGACUAAGUUAUUUUGAGCUAAUUUUGAACUGGUUCGAGCUCAUUGAACUUGAAGGAGCUGGAAAUGAGCUAAAUGAAGCUCCACAAAAAUAAAAUUGAGCUACGUCCAGCUUGUAAAAACGAUGAGCCUCGCUUGUAGGCUGAAACAAUAGCCGUUCCCGGGGGUGGGUCGUAUCAUCCCCUCCCUCUUUAAAGCGAUUUUUCCCCAAAUCGGGCCACUUGCUCGCGAAGAAACUUCUAUUAACAAAGACCCCUUGGUUGUUGAAUUUGACAAACUUGUGCCCAGCAACCUGAAAUUCAUGAAUAGAUUGAAAAUAACACUGAUUAGUUACUUGCCCUCCCUCUUUAAGGCAAAGCCACUUCAAAGUGUCACCUACACAAUAAAGAAAAUUAUGAAUGACACAAUGAACUAAAAACUUGCAAACUCUUUCCAAAUUUUCAAUCAUAAUUAGAGCAAAAGAACUAUUGCCGAAUUCAAAAAUAUAGAUAAGCCUUACCUUUCCACAUUGAUUUUCCAAAUUCAUCAAGGAACUAGACAUGGGAAAUAAUUCCACGAAUAUGAACAGUUCAUGCAAAUAAACACAUACCCCACAACACACUCUAUCAAAUGGAUUCGAAGACUCAUGAAUCAAACAAUUAAAUCGAUUGGUCAAAUCUUCACCAUGAAAAAUCCCAUCCAAUGGACGAAUAGAUGUUAACGAAUAACCACAAAUCCAUAAAAAGUCUUUUAAACAAAUAUGUGAAAAAAAUAUUAAUCGGCCAAAAGAAACAAGAUCACUUAGUCGAAUCAAGUUUUGCAAAUUUAAACUUAAUAGUGGCCAAUAAUCUUCCACUUCUUCAUCAAACCUGUCAUAUUCACGAAUGUCAUCACCUUUUGAACAAAAUAGAGAUGUUUUUAGUUCUUCAGAAACCAAACCUUGUCUAUCCUUGAGAUUAUGGAUUUGAGGAUCGGUUUUACCAUUCUCUCGCAAUAUGAACCUUCUCUUCUCAGGAAUAUAAUGUAAUCGUAAUUCCUUGCUUGGUUUAACCUGAAAAAAUGAAGAGACAGGAAGACAACGAUUAAUCAAAACAUUUUUCUUUCUCUCACUCAAAUUUCUUUCACUUUCUUUUUCUUUGAUCUUGUUUUUCUCACAAUCUCGAUUCUUUUCUUUUGAAUCAUUUUUCUUUUCUUUUUCACUCUCUCUCAAUUUCUUUUUUUGUUCAUUCAAAUCUUCCAAGGAUUGCUUUAAUCAUUGUUGAUCUUCCAUCACUUGUUGUGGAGACAAGGGGGCCAAAGUGAUAUUUUUGCCUUUGUGCUUGAAUGAAUUUUGGUUCGAGAACCCAUCGUGCUUGACUCGCCGAUCAAACUGCCACGGCCUCCCAAGCAGUAAGUGGCCCGCAUGCAUGGGUACAACGUCGCACAAAAUCUCGUCUUGGUAUCUUCCAAUUGAAAAGGGAAUCAAUGCUUGUUUGGUUACCUUAAGUUCGACUCCUUCAUUGAGCCAUUGUAACUUGUAGGGACUCGGGUGCUUAAGGGUCGGUAAAGACAACUUCUCGAUCAUAAGUGUGCUUGCAACAUUUGUGUAACUCCCGCCAUCGAUCACAACGUUACAAACCUUUCCAUGAACAUAACAUCGGGUAUGAAACAAAUUCUCGCGUUCCGGUUCACCUAUAGAGCUUUGCGCACUAAGACUCCUUUUAACAAUGAGCAUUUCGCCUUCAACGGCAAACUCUAUCUCAUCUUCGUUAUCAGAAGGAUUGUUAAUCUCUUCUUCAUUCUUGUCUAUGUCCUCCUCCGAUUCUAUUUCACCAUUAGAGAGUAUCACCAUUGUGUUGCGAUUUGGGCAUUGGCUCGCUAUGUGCCCUCUCUGAUACGGGGUUGGGCGCGGACCAAGAUCGAGUUGCCAAGUCACGAGAAACUCCUACGAAAGCUCUAAACAAACAGAUCUGAAAUCAAACAAAGAACGAGAUUAAAUCUGGAAAAUUAAAAUCUGGAAUAAGAACCCUAAAAAUCAGCAAGAUCUAAUCAAGGAACGAAACACUUAUGAAAGAGGUUUCUUGAAACCAAGAACACGAAAUUGAUUCCUAAGAAUGAACUCCCACAAGCCGAAUCUGUCAAAGAACACCAAAUCAGCAAGCAAAUUAGAUCGACCAGAAUUUCUUGAAACAAAUUAGGGUUUAUGCGUCAAUGAGAAAGAAAGAAAUUGAAGGCAUAAAACGGCUAUUGAGGCUGAGAAAGCGAGGGUGAUCUGCUCAAUUGACCACCACGAAAGUUUCCCUUAAGUUUCCACAACCAAAUUCACCCAAGAAGAAUAAGUGUGCAUUCGGCAAGAACCCUAGAAUUUGGGGAUUUAGGGCUGAUUGUCGAACUCCAGCAAAAAGUGAAAUUGAUCAAUUCUUUAAGAUAAACGAGGGCUGGAAACACAAAUAAAACAGCAAAUAGAUUAGAAUUGAGAUUCGGCACAAGUAGAAUUAAAUAAAAGAAAUUGAACAGCAAAAAUUAAAGGAUAAGUCCUAAAGAUCCUUGAAAUCCCAAAAGAUUUCACAAAUCUCUUCAAACGGCUCUAAUCUCCCCUCUAAUGAAUAUCGAUGGCAAGAAGAAGGUUGAAGAUGGCUCCCACAAUCAAAAGAUUGUUAAAACAACUUCUAAAGAAAACUCAAGAGAGAAUUCUUGGAGAAAACCCCAAAGAAACUUCUGCACUCAACAAAUCUGAAAUUUGAUAGAAAAAAUAAUAAUAAGAUGUUUUUACAAAGGGUGGCUGGCCAAUGCUUAUAUAGGCCUCCAACAAAUCCUAAUCUCACAAGUAACUAAUAAAAAAUUAAACCUAAUUAAUAAAAUAACAAGGUAAAUUCGGCCAUGCACUUAUAUGGGCUGUUUUGGGUCGAAUUUUACAUGCAAUGCUCCUAAAGAUUAAAAAAUUAAAUUAAACAAGUAAGAUGUUUACAAAUUGGGCCCUUUGACAUUUUGGCCUGAUUUUCAACUAAGUAUGAAGAAAUUUCUUGAUUGGGCUAAAUUUUGGUUAUUGGGCCUCGCCUUCAAGAAUUUGGGCUCGUGAUCCAUCUCCUACCAAAAUUGGGUCGUUGACACUCGUAAUGGAGAUCCAAUGUGUUUUGGCUGCAAGAUUUGGUUUCUUGGACCAAGAUUUCCAAGAUUUGAAAUCUUGAUUUUCUUGAUUCUUGAAAUCUCUUCGAACAUCAAAAUUGGGCCAAGAUUCGGUUUCUUGAUUUUCUUGAAAACAAGAAAGUGAAUCUUGAUUUUCUUGUUCUCUCGAGUAUGCAUCUAAGGCCUUGCUAACAAGCUCUUGAAUGGUCCCAUUUAGUUUGGACCGCAUUUGUCGGGCCUUUGAUCUUGUUAUUGGGCUUUGUGGCAAUUUGAGCCCAUCACGUUCUUGAACUUGGAUUGGGCCUUUAUGACUCGCAUCAUUCCCCCUUCCUCAAAAAGAUUCGUCCUCGAAUCUGAAAAAUCAAAUGGGGACAAGUCAGCCACAUUAAAAGUAGAACUUACAUUGUACUCACCAGGUCGAUCAAUUUUAUAGGCAUUAUCGUUGAUCCGCUCGAGUACUUGGAAAGGCCCAUCGCCCCUUGGGUCCAACUUAGUCUUCCUUUUUGUAGGAAAUCGUUCUUUCCUCAAAUGGACCCAAACCCAAUCUCCGGGUUCUAGUACAACCCGUUUGCGCCCUUUGUUUGCUUUGUUGGUGUUGGCGUCAUUUGUUUUGGCUAUUCGCUGUCUAGCCUUCUCAUGUAAGGAUUUCACCAACUCAGCUUUCUGUUCGCCAUCUAAAUUCAUAACGUGUUCAAGAGGUAAUGGUGCAAGAUCAAGUACUGUUAGUGGGUUAAAACCAUAAACAAGUUCAAAUGGGGAAUAACUAGUUGUAGAAUGAAUAGAUCUAUUAUAUGCAAAUUCAACAAAUGGUAGGCAUUCUUCCCAAUUUCUAAUGUUCUUUCCCACAACAGCUCGUAAUAAAGUCCCUAAGAUUCGAUUAACUACUUCAGUUUGACCAUCAGUUUGGGGGUGACAUGUAGUAGAAUAAAGCAAUUUAGUACCAAGCUUACCCCACAAUACCUUCCAAAAGUGGCUAAGGAAUUUGACAUCUCUAUCAGAAACAAUUGUUUUAGGGAUGCCAUGAAGUCUUACCACUUCUUUAAAGAAUAAGUCUGCCACAUGUGUAGCAUCAUCUGUUUUGUGACAAGGAAUAAAAUGUGACAUCUUUGAAAACCUGUCAACAACAACAAAUAUACUAUCUCUUCCUUUUUUUGUUCGAGGCAAACCUAAAAUAAAAUCCAUGGAUAAAUCUACCCAAGGUGAAGUAGGAAUCGGUAGAGGAGUGUAAAGGCCAUGAGGCAUUACCUUAGAUUUUGCUUGUUUGCAUGUAAUGCACUUGGAACAUACCUUUUCCACAUCCUUCUUCAUAUGUGGCCAAUGGAAGUGUUCUUGCAAUAUGUCUAGUGUUUUGGCCACUCCAAAAUGUCCCAUUAAUCCCCCACUAUGGGCUUCAUGAAUCAACAAUUCUCUCAUGGAACACUUUGGUAUGCUUAACCUGUUUAAACGAAAAAGAAAGCCAUCUACAAGAUAAAAUUUUUCAAAAGCAGUAUGUCAACAAUUCUUAUAGAUAUGGCUGAAAUCAGUAUCAUCAUCAUAUAACUCUUUAAUAUGUUCAAACCCUAAGACUUUAGCAUUCAAUGUAGUUAUUAAAGUAUAUCGUCUAGACAAAGCAUCUGCGACUACAUUAUCUUUACCUGUUUUAUAUUGAAUCACAUAAGGGAAUGUUUCAAUGAAUUCUACCCAUCGGGCAUGUCUUUUACUCAACUUACCUUGUCCCUUUAACCAUUUAAGAGACUCAUGAUCUGUAUGUAUGACAAACUCAUUAGGCAGUAAAUAAUGUUGCCAUACUUGAAGUGCACGAACUAAUGCCAAUAAUUCUUUGUCAUAAGUCGAGUAAUUUAACUGUGCACCGUUCAAUUUCUCACUAAAAUAAGCAAUAGGUUGCUUAUCUUGCAUUAAAACGGCGCCGAUUCCAAUUCCUGAAGCAUCACACUCAAGUUCAAAAGUUUUAGCAAAAUCAGGUAAUUUAAGCAAAGGAGUAGAACAUAACUUAGCUUUUAGAGUUUGAAAAGCUUUUUCUUGGGUUUCACCCCAUUUGAAACCCACUGAUUUCUUUAUAACUUCAGUCAAUGGGGCAGUAAUAGUAGAGAAAUCUUUCACAAAUCGUCUAUAAAACUGGCUAAACUAUGGAAAGAUCUCACCUCAGUUACCGAUUUAGGAGUCGGCCACUCCUUAAUUGCCUUAACUUUGUCCUCGUCGACAUGAAUACCUUGAGCACUAACUAUGAAACCUAAGAAUAUUAGUUUAUCACAACAGAAUGUGCAUUUAUCAAGGUUGGCAAAUAAUCUUUCAGUUCGUAGAAUAUCCAAAACGGUUCGAACAUGGAAAACAUGAUCAUCUAAUGACUUUGAGUAAAUUAAAAUAUCAUCAAAGUAAACUACUACAAAUUUACCCAAAUGUAGCCUCAAAACAUGAUUCAUUAAUCUCAUAAAUGUACUAGGUGCAUUAGUAAGGCCGAAAGGCAUAACUAACCAUUCAUACAAUCCAAAUUUUGUUUUAAAGGCUGUUUUCCAUUCAUCCCCUUCCCUCAUUCGAAUUUGAUGAUAACCGCUUUUUAAAUCAAUUUUUGUAAAUAUUAUUGAACCAUGUAAUUCAUCAAGCAUAUCAUCAAGUCUAGGGAUUGGGUGUCGAUACUUUACCGUUAUCUUGUUGAUUGGGCGACAAUCAACACACAUACGAAACGUACCAUCUUUCUUUGGCACCAAUAAGACAGGAACAGCACAAGGACUUAGGCUCUCACGAAUGUACCCUUUGUCUAGUAAUUCCUCAACUUGCCUUUGCAAUUCCUUUGUCUCCUCGGGAUUGCAUCUAUAGGCUGGUCAAUUUGGGAUUGAAGCUCCGGGUACUAAGUCAAUUUGAUGUUCUAUCCCUCGUAAAGGUGGUAAACCUUUAGGGGCCUCACUAAAAACAUCCUCAUAAUCCUGCAAAAGAGAUUGAAACGCACUAGGCAAAUUUUCGUUAAUGUUAGAUAAAGAUAAAUAAUUUUGCCUAAACCUCACAAGGAUACAAGGCUGUUUAUUAAGUAGGGCUCUCUUCACAUCUUUUUUUGUUGCCAAAAGAUUUUUUCCGCUCAUUUUACCACUAGAGGAUUCACUCACCUUCGGGCUUUUUAAAUUUUGACUUUUUCCACUACUAUUAGCCUCUUUUCUCUCUGUCUUUUGUACUUGCUCUUUCUCCCUUACCCCCUCACAAAAUUUUAUCAUCCUCAAUUGAUCUUUAUAUACAUCAGUAGGAUUUAAAGGAGCAAAAGUGAAUUUCUUGCCUUUAAAUACAAGGGAGUAUCGAUUAAGUUUACCUUGGUGUGUAACAUCGCGAUCAAAUUGCCAAGGUCGUCCAAGGAGCAAGUGUGCCGCAUGCAUGGGGACUACAUCACACCAUACGUCAUCCUCAUAAUUGCCGAGUUUAAAAGUGACCAAGGACUGUUUCGUAACUUUAACUUCGGAACAUUCAUUAAGCCACUGAAGGUGACAUGGCUUAGGGUGUUUGGUACAAGGAAACUUUAAAGAAUCCACCAAAUAACUACUCACUACAUUCGAGCAACUCCCACUAUCAAUAAUGAGUGAACAUAAGUUACCUUUAAUAAAACACCGAGAAUGGAAAAUAUUGGUCCUUUGGCUCUCAUCAUCUUUCAUCUGAAUGUUAAGGGUUCGGCGAACUACAAAGCAAUGGAAAUUAGCAAAGUCCCCUUCUUUUGGUGGUUCGACCAACUCUUCGCCAUUAUCACUGUCAUCCAUAAGUUCUGGCAUAUCUGGAUCUGUUUUAUCAGAAUCGGAAGUGUACUCACCAUUAUCUUUCAGAAGAAGUAAUCUCGUGUUAGGGCAUUCCCUACUAUAAUGACCACGCCCUUUGCACUUAAAGCACUCAAUCUCACGAGUCCUCUUCGCACUCGAAUCUCCUAAAUUGGGCUGCUUAGAAGGUGUUUGCGUUUUAACAGGAGCCCCUUUUUUCCAAUCUGAUUGCUUGCUUCCAUUACUCAAAGAAGGCUUGUUAGUAACGAAAGGUGAUUUUGAGCUCUUAAAAUCAGAAUUGGAAUUGUUACCUCGGUAAUAUUGCGAAGUCGAGAAGGAACCAAACCUUUGUUCCUUUAGUUGUUGCUCGAUCUCAACGGCUUUAUGAACUGCUUCUUCCAAAUCAAUGUAAGUUUGUAGCCUCAAUGUAUUAGCUAUCAGCCUGUUCAAACCAUCAAUAAAUCGAACCAUAGUUGUUUCUUCAUCCUCCUCCACAUUAGCUCUCUGAAUGAGCAUCUCCAUCUCUUUAAAAUAUUCAUCCACUGUCCUACUACCUUGGAUAAGUCUUCUCAGCUUUGUUUUAAUUUCUCUAUAGUAGUGAGGUGGAAUAAACCUUUUACGCAUAAUCUGUUUCAACUCAUCCCAUGUCGAAAUCUCACCUUCAUAAUUCCGAUGGCGGUUUACCCCAAGUUGAGUCUACCAACUUAAUGCAUAAUCAGAAAAUUCCAGUGUUGCUAACGCUACCUUUUCAUCAUCCGGACAUUUAUAAUACCGAAACAUAAGUUCAAUCUUAGAUUCCCAUUCACAAUAAGCGUCAGGAUCAUUCUUACCACGAAAUUGGGGAAUUGUGAAUUUUGGUUUUGCCAAAGAAGGUUGCCCACGAUCAUGAAAAUCAUCAUCCAUUCUAGUGACACGUCGAGGGCCGCGCCUCUGGGGUUGGUUAUCCCUAUCUUCUUUGAUUGGAUCUCAAUAUUGAGGUUCUUGAUUCAAUUGCACCUCAUUGAUGGUAGCAGUCAAAGCUCGAAGAGCAGCAGCCUGUUCAUCCAACUGUUGUUGGAAUUUUUUAAAUAUGUCACUAUUAUUAUCACCUGUAGACAUUUUUUUUAAAACCUGCAAAACACUCAACACUCAAAAAAAAAGUUAUCAAACCUCACCGUUAAUCACUCAAAAAGAAAAAAUCAAAUUCUCAAUGAGGUCGAAUUCAAUCUUAUGAGUUCUUUAUCAGAGUUUAUAUCAACCAAUUAGAGAGUGUGAACCAAACUACCAAAGAAUCCUAAUUUGCACUAGGAUGCCAAAAACUGACGAGACACCAAUUGAUUCGUGUUGCACCGAGGAAGAAGUUGUGCACACGUUUAAAUCCUACUAACACAAGAAACAAGAAGGUGUUAGAUAACGUAAAGGAAGAAUAAAGGUAAACAAAUGAAAACCUACAGCUAAGAAUCAAUAAAAAUUGCUGAAAACAGAAAACCCGAAAAACUGCGGAGUAACUUGACAACUUCGUUUGAAGUGUUCCCGAUCUCCAAAAAUCACGAAAUUAAAUCUGGAGUGUCCUUAUAUACUGAAUCUUUGAUAUGAAAAUUUUGGGCACCAAAUUCAACCCGCUGAAUCUUUUUUUAAAUUUGUCUUUUUUAAUUUUUUUGACUUUUUUGACUGAUUUUUUUGUGGGAAUAAUUUUUUUAUAUUCAAUCACAGUGCCAAAAACAUGUAUGUAAAAUUUCAGAUCAAUCGGAUAACGUUUACCCACUCAAAUGAAUUUUUUUUGAACAAUUUUUCUGGGUAAAACUGUUGUUUAUGCUUUUAAAAAAAUAGAGAUCAGUUUAGAAAUCAACCAAGAACACUCAAAACGCCCAAAAUCUGAUACCAAAUGAUACGGGGUUGCGCACGGACCAAGAUCGAGUUGCCAAGUCACGGGAAACUCCUACGAAAGCUCUAAACGAACAGAUCUGAAAUCAAACAAAGAACGAGAUUAAAUCUGGAAAAUUAAAAUCUGGAAUAAGAACCCUAAAAAUCAGCAAGAUCUAAUCAAGGAACGAAACACUUAUGAAAGAGGUUUCUUGAAACCAAGAACACGAAAUUGAUUCCCAAGAAUGAACUCCCACAAGCCGAAUCUGUCAAAGAACACCAAAUCAGCAAGCAAAUUAGAUCGACCAGAAUUUCUUGAAACAAAUUAGGGUUUAUGCGUCAAUGAGAAAGAAAGAAAUUGAAGGCAUAAAACGGCUAUUGAGGCUGAGAAAGCGAGGGUGAUCUGCUCAAUUGACCACCACGAAAGUUUCCCCUAAGUUUCCACAACCAAAUUCACCCAAGAAGAAUAAGUGUGCAUUCGGCAAGAACCCUAGAAUUUGGGGAUUUAGGGCUGAUUGUCGAACUCCAGCAAAAAGUGAAAUUGAUCAAUUCUUUAAGAUAAACGAGGGUUGGAAACACAAAUAAAACAGCAAAUAGAUUAGAAUUGAGAUUCGGCACAAGUAGAAUUAAAUAAAAGAAAUUGAACAGCAAAAAUUAAAGGAUAAGUCCUAAAGAUCCUUGAAAUCCCAAAAGAUUUCACAAAUCUCUUCAAACGGCUCUAAUCUCCCCUCCAAAGAAUAUCGAUGGCAAGAAGAAGGUUGAAGAUGGCUCCCACAAUCAAAAGAUUGUUAAAACAACUUCUAAAGAAAACUCAAGAGAGAAUUCUUGGAGAAAACCCCAAAGAAAAUUCUGCACUCAACAAAUCUGAAAUUUGAUAGAAAAAAUAAUAAUAAGAUGUUUUUACAAAGGGUGGCUGGCCAAUGCUUAUAUAGGCCUCCAAAAAAUCCUAAUCUCACAAGUAACUAAUAAAAAAUUAAACCUAAUUAAUAAAAUAACAAGGUAAAUUCGGCCAUGCACUUAUAUGGGCUAUUUGGGCCGAAUUUUACAUGUAAUGCUCCUAAAGAUUAAAAAAUUAAAUUAAACAAGUAAGAUGUUUACAAAUUGGGCCCUUUGACAUUUUGGCCUGAUUUUCAACUAAGUAUGAAGAAAUUUCUUGAUUGGGCUAAAUUUUGGUUAUUGGGCCUCGCCUUCAAGAAUUUGGGCUCGUGAUCCACUCCUACCAAAAUUGGGUCGUUGACGCUCGUAAUGGAGAUCCAAUGCGUUUUGGCUGCAAGAUUUGGUUUCUUGGACCAAGAUUUCUAAGAUUUGAAAUCUUGAUUUUCUUGAUUCUUGAAAUCUCUUCGAACAUCAAAAUUGGGCCAAGAUUCGGUUUCUUGAUUUUCUUGAAAACAAGAAAGUGAAUCUUGAUUUUCUUGUUCUCUCGUGUAUGCAUCUAAGGCCUUGCUAACAAGCUCUUGAAUGGUCCCAUUUAGUUUGGACCGCAUUUGUCGGGCCUUUGAUCUUGUUAUUGGGCCUUGUGGCAAUUUGAGCCCAUCACGUUCUUGAACUUGGAUUGGGCCUUUAUGACUCGCAUCACUCUCCCUUGACACUUAAAACACUUAAUAUCACGUGUUCGGGAUUGAGUAUUUUCAAUGGCCUUACCUUUGCUAGAUUCGGCCACAGACUUGUUGGACUUCAUGGGCACCACAGUUUCUUUUGAUUGAUUCGUUGAAACAUUCUUACUUGCCCCUUGGUUCCACUUAGAUGCAUUCGAAGAGGAAUAACCAUGUACGGCUCCUUUCAUCUUGAGUUGCUUUUCGACCUUGAUCGCCAUGUGAACCAUAUCGACAAUCUCUACGUAGUGUUGCAACUCAACUAUGUUGGCAAUUUCACAGUUAAGUCUGGCUAAGAAACGAGCCAUAGUUGCCUCUCGAUCUUCCUCCACAUCCCCUCGAAUCAUGGCCACUUCCAUCUCCUUGAAGUAAUCCUCCACGCUUCUCGUCCCUUGUGUAAGAUUUUGAAGUUUUUAGUACAACUCCUGAUGGUAGUACGAAGGGAUGAAACGUCGUCGCAUUACAGCCUUCAUCUCGGACCAUGUUUGGAUAGGACGCUCGCCAUUUCGCCUUCGGCUAGUUGUAAGUUGGUCCCACCACACCAUUGUGUAGUCCGAAAAUUCGAUAGCAACCAACUUAACUUUCUUGGCCUCAGAAUAGUUAUGGCAUUCAAAUAUAAGCUCGAUCUUUUUCUCCCACUCGAGAUAAGCUUCGGGAUCCGAUCAGCCUUGGAAUGAAGGGACUGACAACUUAAUGCUUUUCAAGUCAUCAUCGAACCUCCCUCGAUUUCGUUGGCCUCGGUUGCAUAGGCCUCUUCGUUGAACAUUCGCAUUGGACCCUUGAUCACUUUCGUCUUCAAUCGACUCGGAAGAUUCAUCAUCUAAAUCAGAUUGCCGUCCUCGAUUUCUCGGAGGGCUUAAGGGAGUUCUCCUUCGUUGGGCUCUUCCUUCCACACGAUCAAGUCUAUCUUGAAUCAGUUCUAACUUUUGAUCGAACAAUCGUUCCACCUCGCGUAGCAAUGCUUGCAAAUUCAAGUCCGGCAUAUUUCGAACAGGUUGCCUUUCUGCCAUGUUUAUUGUAGGGCUUCUUGAUAUAUGAAAUUAUAACCUCACAACAAAAACUCACAAGUCACUCAAAAAGAAAAUAAUUCGGCACUCCACUCGUGUUUACACUCUUUAAUGGCUUUUUCUUCUCUCUAAUGCUCUCACAACACUCGUGCCUUUUUCCACUCAAUUUCCUCUCGUGAUUUCGUAAGCGACUCGUCGUGACCUUAUCGUAGUUCAAUGGGUCGGCUUCAAAUGGCUUUACAAGGGAUUAAUGUUAGGUUACGGGUAGGCUAAAAGAAACAAGAAAGGCUUUAGGCUAAGUGUGGCUUAAAAGAUGAAUAGAAGAGAAUGCCAAACUUACAAACUCGAAACACUUUUUUUUAUAUCAAUUUUUUUCAAUUGCAUGAAAUUUCACUACGGGGGAUAUAAAAGAGUGUAGAAUGAGAUUUUGGAAAAAAUUCUAUUGAAGUGUCUCCAGACUUUUUUUUUACGAAUCUUUCAUGUUCUUUUCGUCCGCACCUAGACCGUAUACAAUUUUUUUUUUCUUUCAAAUUUUUUUUUGUUUUUUUUUCAAUUUUUUUUCAAACUUUUUUUUUACGUACCAAUUUCAAAAUGUCUUCGAAUGCUCGUACUUCUCGUUUUAACCAGCUCUGAUACCAAAUGAUACGAUCUCGGUUUAGUAGUUGAGUCUGAGUUGUUUAGUUCCCGAUCGUAAACGAAGAAGUAGAAUAGACGAGAAGGAGUUAGAAUAUAUUUGUGUUCAAAGAAGUAAGAUAAGUUCGUGCAAAGUUGGAUGUGGAUUUGGUUUAAGUCGAAAAGGUAUGAAUAGAAUGGACGAGUUCGGUUUAGGAUAAUUAAGAAAUGGUAUUUGGUUUUGGUACGUUUUGGUAUUUGGGAAUUGGUUCGAAAUGGUAUGGAAUUGGUACGAAAUGGUAUGGUAUUUUGUACGAAUUGGUAAUGGUUCAAAGAGGUCAAGAAUGAACCAACACUAAAGAAAAGUGUCGACCCGAAACUUAUAGGACCUAAAUGAAUUGGAAAUGGUUGAAAAGGACCUUGACCCGAUACUUAGGAAAGUAUGAACCAAAUGUAUCAAAGGUGAAUGCCACACUCGGGUUUAAGGAGUGAUAAGUUCGGAAAAGACUCAGAAAGACGCCACUAAAAGCUUAGAUAAGUCUUACGGGUCUCGAACGAAAUUUGAGAGAAAAUGCCUCACAAAUUUGGCAGCAAUUCGCUAAUUAAAUUGUCAAAAAGUCCCUUACAAAGUGAAAAUUCAGCUAUUUAUAAUAAUCCACUAGGCUAGCCGAAUGGUCACUUAAAUUCCUUAAAAAUUAAGCAAAUGAAUUACUUAAAUGGGCUAGCUAGAUUCGGCUGAACUUGGAGCUCCAAUGGUCACCUUCUAGAUGGACAAUUGAACUUGGAGCUUGAGGGAGUAAAUGGCAGCAGCUACAUUCGGUUGAUGUGCUUAAAGGAGCUCAUUUAAUUGGCAACUAUUGCUGAAAAUUACCAGCAAUUAAGAAGAUGUUGAGUAGUCACUUUGAGUGUGAAAACCAAGUUUUGAAGAGUCUUUGAAUGUGAACACCUUGAUCCGAACAGCCAUGAUGUAUUCAACAGUGUGUAAGCAAUAAAUUCGGCUGAAUGGUCACUUAGGAGACUUCAAACAAUAGCCAACUUCAUUCUCCCAUUCAUGCAUGUGCCGUCCCCUUCAUGUACCCUCUUUUAAUACCUUUCAUGCUUCAAAAACGUUCAUGGAUGAUGUACCCGCAGCAACAUUCAUCAAAUAAUUCAAAUUCAUGUUUAGACACAUUAAAUUAACACUAAAAUGCUGCACAUUAAAUUCGGCAGCCUUAGGACAUAAUUAAAACAAGUAAUAAAGUUAACAUAUUAAAAACAAGCUUAAAAACAUAUUUAUAAGCUGUAUAAAUUAAGACAAAAUUAAUAACAUGUCAUAAUAACUAAAAUAUCAUGCAUAAUUAAGUUUGACCAGAUUUAAGACCAAUUUAAUAACGAAAAUUAAUUAAGCUUGUAAAUAACUAAUUUAACUAACUCAAUUAAUUAUUUCAGCUACUAUAUUAUUGACUAAGUUAUUUUGAGCUAAUUUUGAGCUGGUUCGAGCUCAUUGAACUUGAAGGAGCUGGAAAUGAGCUAAAUGAAGCUCCACAAAAAUAAAAUUGAGCUACGUCCAGCUUGUAAAAACGACGAGCCUCGCUUGUAGGCUGAAACAAUAGCCGUUCCCGGGGGCGGGUCGUAUCAGCGGUGAAGGUUUAUUCCUUCAUAUUAUCAUCGGGAGUUGUAUCAAAAGCUCCAAAAUCUCACCCAAGGAACCAAAAGUGUGGAGGAUUAUUACAAGGAGAUGGAGAUCGCUAUGAUUCGCGCUGAUGUACAAGAAGAUCGUGAGGCCACUAUGGCGCGAUUCUUGGUUGGACUUAAUCGGGAAAUAGCUAACAUCGUUGAGUUGCAACACUACGUGGAAAUCGUAGAUAUGGUGCACAUGGCUAUCAAAGUCGAGAAGCAAAUCAAAAAGAAAGGUUCUGCUCGAGGCUAUUCUUAUUCCAAUACAUCUAAAUGGAACCAAGGUUCGAGUAAGAGUGCUUCUACUAAUCCGAUAAAGGAGCCAACAACACCACCAAAAACACUUAAGCCAAUUGCUGAAUCUAGCAAAGGUAAGUCUGUGGAUAAUUUCCAAAAUCGAUCAAGAGAUAUAAAAUGUUUUAGGUGUCUCGGAAGAGGACAUGUGGCUAGCCAAUGCCCAAAUCGGAAUGCCAUGAUUAUGAGGCCAAAUGGUGAUAUCGAAUCGGAGGAGGAGAUAGACAAAAAUGAAGAAGUUGAAAUUCCUUCCGAUAAUGAAGAAGAAAUAGCGUUUGCUGUUGAAGGUGAAAUGCUUGUGGUAAAAAGAAAUCUUAGUGUCCAAACUUCCGUGGAUGAACUACAACGUGAGAAUUUAUUCCAUACGCGUGGACUUGUCAAAGAAAGGGUUUGUAGUAUCGUGAUUGAUGGUGGAAGUUGCACUAAUGUCACAAGCACAUACUUGGUGGACAAACUUGCUUUGCCAACUAUCAAGCAUCCAAGUCCUUAUAAAUUACAAUGGCUCAAUGAAGGGGUCGAAUUGAAGGUGACCAAGCAAGCCAAGAUUUCUUUCUCUAUUGGAAACUACCAUGAUGAAGUAUUAUGUGAUGUUGUGCCCAUGCAUGCGGGUCAUAUUUUACUCGGAAGGCCAUGGCAAUUUGACCGUCGAGUCAAACAUGACGGUUUUGCUAAUCAAUAUUCGUUUCAACAUAAGGGUAAAAAUGUUACUUUGGUACCCUUGUCCCCGCAACAAGUCAUGGAAGAUCAACAACGUCUUAAGCGAUCCAUGGAACAAGCAAAAGAAAAAGAGAGCAUUGAAAAGGAAGAUGAGAAAGAUAAAAAAAUAGAAAAACAAAAAGAAACAAAAAAAAAUUAUAAAAAAAUGAGAGUGUUGAAAAAGAAAAAGAAAUCACAAGAAAGGUGAGUGAGAAAAAGAAAAGAGAAUUAAAAAACCAUUGUCUCCUUGUUACUCCAUUUCAGGUUAAUUCAAAGAAGGAGCUCCAAUUACAAUACAAGUCUGAAGGAAGAAGGUUUGUGAUGAUUGAAAAAGGUAAAAUCGAUCUUCAAUUCCCAAUUCCUAAAGGUGGACAAGGUAUGAAUUCUGAUGUUAUGCGAUCAUCUUUUCUUAAGUCGAAUGUAAAUGAAAUUUUUGAAGACACCUUGAAUGCUAAAAAUCGCUUGAAUCCUAUUGUGGUUAAUUGUUUGAUUUUGUUUGAUGAAGAUAUAUUUGUUUUGAGUAAUGAUAAGAAGAUUUUUCUCUUUGGAAAAUGUGAUGAAGUCGUUGUUGAGAACAAAACCAAAUGACAAUUGCGAGUGUCAAACAUGCGAAAUCAUGAGUCAUAUGAAACUUUUCAUUUGCAUGUUUGUGAUGAAGAUUUAAAUUUCAUGUCUCCUUACUUGCAUUCCAUUUACUUGAACAAUGACUUGUGGAAGCAAAUUGAAAAGUUCGAAUGCUUAAAAACAUAUUUGUUUUCGUCUCAACCAUUUGAUGAGUUAUGGAUAUGGAAGGAGUUUUGUUCAUGUGNNNNNNNNNNNNNNNNNNNNNNNNNNNNNNNNNNNNNNNNNNNNNNNNNNNNNNNNNNNNNNNNNNNNNNNNNNNNNNNNNNNNNNNNNNNNNNNNNNNNNNNNNNNNNNNNNNNNNNNNNNNNNNNNNNNNNNNNNNNNNNNNNNNNNNNNNNNNNNNNNNNNNNNNNNNNNNNNNNNNNNNNNNNNNNNNNNNNNNNNNNNNNNNNNNNNNNNNNNNNNNNNNNNNNNNNNNNNNNNNNNNNNNNNNNNNNNNNNNNNNNNNNNNNNNNNNNNNNNNNNNNNNNNNNNNNNNNNNNNNNNNNNNNNNNNNNNNNNNNNNNNNNNNNNNNNNNNNNNNNNNNNNNNNNNNNNNNNNNNNNNNNNNNNNNNNNNNNNNNNNNNNNNNNNNNNNNNNNNNNNNNNNNNNNNNNNNNNNNNNNNNNNNNNNNNNNNNNNNNNNNNNNNNNNNNNNNNNNNNNNNNNNNNNNNNNNNNNNNNNNNNNNNNNNNNNNNNNNNNNAGAUAGUGGGUCAAGGUCCUCUUACAUCCUUAUUCAUCCAUCUUAAAGACAUAUAAGAAUCGGGUCAACCUUAAUCCUUAACGUUGGUUCAUUCUUGUUUUUAAGCCUAUCUUCCCAUUCCAUUUUGAACUGAAAAUUCCAAACCAUUAUUAUUUGUUUCCUACCUUUUCUUAGCCUAAUUAAUUUACAAAUCACUUUCUUUAAUCUCAAUUGAAUCUCAAACAACUUCAUCGUUUGGACGAUCGGGCAACAAAAGCGAUUCAACUCAUUAAACUGAGGCUGGUUCGCAUCAGGGGCCUCACUAAAAACAUCCUCAUAAUCCUGCGAAAAACAUUGAAACACUCUAGGCAAAUUUUAAUUAAUGUUAGAUAGAGAUAAAUAAUUUUGCCUAAACCUCACAAGGAUACAAGGCUGUUCAUUGAAUAGGUCUCUCCGCACAUCUUUUUUUGUUGCAAUUAAAAUUUUCACUCUAUUUUUACCACUUGCGAAUUCACUCACCUUUGGGCCAUUUAAAUUUUGACUUUUUUCACUACUAGCCUCUUUUCUCUCUGUCUUUUUUAUUUGUCCUUUCUCCCUCACCCCCUCACAAAAUUUCAUCAUUUUUAAUUGAUCUUUAUAUACAUCACUGGGAUUUAAAGGAGCAAGAGUGAAUUUUCGGCCUUUAAACAUAAGAGAGUAUCUAUUAAGCUUGCCUUGGUGUGUAACAUCACGACAAAUUGCCAAGGCCAUCCAAAAAGCAAGUGUGCCGCAUGCAUUGGGACCACAUGACACUGUACCUCAUCCUCGUAAUUCCCAAGCUUAAAAGUGAUCAAGGACUGUUUUGUAACUUUAACUUCUGAGCAUUCAUUAAGCCACUGAAGGUGAUACGGCUUAGGGUGCUCGAUACAAGGUAACUUUAUGGAAUCUACCAAAUAGCUGCUGAUGUGAGCACGCCCGGGGCAUCCUCGAGUGCAAACCAAGAUCUAAACGAGCUGCCUAAAGGACCUAUAACUCAAGCUUAUGCUAAACAUUUCCUAGAAGCUAUUUUAGCUUCUAAUGCAAAACCUUGGUUCGAAACAAGGGCCAAAGCUCACAAAAUCAGCUUGAAGCAACUAUCCAAAGGACCCGUGCAUUGUUGGCAAGCUGAUCCUAGCUCAUUUCUAGCUCCUCGAGCACCGUCCAGCUCAACUCAGCUCAUUUGAGCUUGUUUCAGCUCGUUUGAGCUCCACCGAGCUUACUUUCAGCUCCUUCUUUCUUUCUUUCAAUAAACUAAGUCUUAAUUUAGUUUAUAAUUAAGUUUGCUACAGCUCAUGCCGAAACCCCUAGCUCAAUUUCAACUCAUUAAGUGUUUUGACUAUUUUUGAGCUAGCUAAAUUUAUUAUAAGUUGACUUAUAAUUAUUGUGUUCAAAUUUAGUUAGUGAUAUUAAGUUAUUUAGUUAUUAUUUUAAAUUAUAAUUAUAUGAAUAGUUGUGUGUUAUUUAAUUAUGUUAUUUACUUUUGUAGGUUAGCCGAAUUUGGAAGAGACAUUCAUGGCAUUUAAUGCAAGGUCAUGGGAAAGUUAAUUGAACGGGAGGAUACAUGCAUGGACCGGUUCAAUGUUUGGAGGACAUACAUUCAUGUACAUGGAAGGUUAAUGCAUAUUGAAAGGUGCAUCUCCCUUGGACGGCACACAUGCAUGAAUGGGGGGUAAUCAAUGCAAGUGCAUGUAUGGCUAGGUUCAAGGCCCCUUCCAAGUUCCAUGUACAAUCGAUGCAUGUGGGAGGACCCUUGGAGUUUCCUAAGCACCUAUUCGGCCAAGAGACACCCUUUGGGAGUUUCAUGCAACCCAUGGCCGAACCUAGACAAUCCCAUUGGCUUCCAAAGUUUGCUCAUACAUGAAGCUGCCCAUUCAUCUCCCAUUCGGCCGAACAUGGACAAGGACACCAUUGGUCAUUUUUCUAGAAGGUUCAUGUCUUAAUUUAGGUUCAUUACUUAAUCAUUAAGUUCAUGAAUGGACUAUUCGGUUAGCAUAAGAAACUAGUAUAAAUAGUUUGUUGAUUUCAUUUGUAAAGGACUUUUGACUUUUGAUCAUUUGAAUAAACUUUGUUCAAAGAGUGAGUUUUCUCCUCUCUAAAUUCGUACGAGUUUCGAUCUGACUUAUCUAGCGUGCUAGUGGCGUCUAUCGUUCUCUUUUGAACUUAUCACCUUGCUUUGGUGUGGCGUUCAACCUUCUACAAUUCCGCAAUCCCACCUUGAACCGAAUAGAAAUCGGGGUGACACUUUUAGUGUUGAAUCGUUUCUGGCGUUUAAGCUCAUUUAUCCAUUCCACCGACUAUCCUAGAUUUUACCCAACUAUAAUAUCUUUUUACAAAACCGAGCCUUCAUUUAUCAACUUCCAUUUUUCUUAUUUUUAUCCUUAAAUCGAGCCUACUACCCUUAUAAAUUUACCAUCACCUUAGCCAACCUUUAAAACCAUUUGAAAGCUUCCGCAUCUUUAGCCUUAUUUCAUCCUAUUUUCGAUAACUCAACUAUUCCUCGUCGAUGAUCGGGCAAUUACGUGAAACGACUCAAUUAAUCCGGGCCGGAUCACAUCAUUUGGUGUCAGAGCUACUAAAACGAGAAGUGCCGACAUUCGUAUCAAGCUCGGAGUAGGUUCGUAAUGUAAAAAAAAGUCAAAAAAAAAUCAAAAAAAAAAUUUGAGUUGGAAUUUAAUUUUUUUUCUCUUCCUUGUAUUUUGUUUACUAUUGUAUUGGAUUUUAAAAAAAAGAGAAGAAAUUCAAAAAAAAUUCAAAAAAAUCGAAAAAAAAAGAAAAAAAAGAAGUGACAAAAAAAUCGAGUUAAAAAAAAGAAGAAAAAAAAAGUGAAAAGUCUUGCGAGUUUUUAUCAUUAUCACUUAUUACUCCGAUCAUCAAGUUUCCCUUCCUACCAUUAUGUACCCAUCCCAACGCCACACUUUAAACCAAUUUUCUUCUUUAUUCAGCCUACCCUACACCCGACAUUAUCCCUUGUAACCCAUUUUGAAACCGACCCUCAAGCAGCAAAUUAAGUCUAUUGAGAUGAAUUACGAAUUUGUGAGACGAGGUCGAGUGGUAAAAGGCAAGAGAGCGUGAGUUCAUUCGAAAAAAAGCCUAAAAGAGAGUUCAAACACGAGAGUGAGUGAAUUUUUCUUUUUGAGCGAACUUGAGAGAUUUGUGGUGAGAAUUAUUUUUUUUCUUUCUAAUUUAGCUUUUGUUUUCUAAUAUUUUGUUGAAGCAUGUCUGAAGAAUUUUCUGAAUUUGAAUUCCAAAUGUGGAGACAAGAAAUGCAAAGGAUAAUGCGAUCUGAAUUUCGACAAUUCGACAAAGAUAAAGAAGAUUUGACAUCUACUAUCGUUGACAUCAAGAUUAGUGCAAUCCUUCAAAGAUUGGAAAAUGAACCACAAUGUGAAGAUAUGUUUCACACGCGUUGCCGUGUCCACGAUAAAGUUUGUUGCCUCAUUAUUGAUGGUGGAAGUAGGUCAAACAUGGCUAGUAUUCGAACGGUAAAAAAACUUGGCUUGGCCACUACCAAGCAUCCACGACCCUAUCAACUGCAAGGACUUGGUGUUGAAGGCAAAUUUGAAGUUACUCAACAAGUGCGUGUUGCAUUUUCCAUUGGAAGAUACCAAGACGAAGUCCUUUGUGAUGUUGUGCCUAUUCAAGUCUGCCAUUUGUUGCUAGGAGAACCAUGGCAAUCGGAUCGCAAGGUCAUUCACGAUGAACGUACCAAUAGGUAUUCCUUCAAGCAUCAAGGAAGGAAAAUCACUUUAGCGCCGCUCACACCGGAACAAGUGCAAGAAGACCAAUUCAAAAUAAAGCAAUCCAUUGAGCGAGAAAAGGAGAAAGAGAUUGAAAAAGAAAUUGAAAGAAAACAAAAAGAAAACGAAAAAGAAAAAGAAAUUGCAAAAGAAAAAGAAAUCAAAAAAGUGAGAGAAAAAGAAAAUGAAGAAAAGAAAAUUGAAAAAGAAAAAGUGAAAAAAGAAUUUGAAAAAGAGUUUGAAAAAGAGAAGAGUGAAAAAGGAGAAAGUAAUCGAGCAAAAGUGAGGAAUGUUCUAACUAACCCAUUUGCAAGUUUGCCGUGUAAAUUUUCUUCUUUCCAGGUUUCCAAGGAAUCGAUUGACAAGUUUCGACUUCAAUACCUUUCGAAAGAGAGAGGGUUCACCUUGGUUGAAAAAGGUAACAUUCUUAAUGAUCGUAGUUCGCCUAAGCCAAAAGAGGAGCAAGGUAUGAAUGUUGAAAAUUUUAAAGCACCUCUGCCUUAUUCGAUUGUUGAUGGAAACCUUGUUGAUGAUUUGUCCUUUAAAAAUGAUCUGAAUUUUGAUGUGGUUACUUGCCAUUCUUUGAUUGAUAAUAUCAUAUUUGCGUGGAAUGAUGGCAAGAAGAAUAAUGUUUUUGGAAAUUGUGAUGCUGAUGAGUUUGUUAUUGAAAUAAUAAAUAUUCGGCAUUUGCAAGAUAAGAAAACAUAUAAGCCUUUCCAUCUGCUUGAUUUGAGUAAAAAUGUGCACUCAUUGAUCUUUUAUGAGAAACUACUUUGUCUAAACAAGAAUGUACGUAUGAGAUUUGAGAUGCAUGAAUGCUUGAAAACAUGCAUGUCUUUGAUUUGUUUGUUUGAUACGAGGAUGACAUGUAAAAUGGUUAGUGCACUUAAAGUUGAAGAUGGUGUCUCAAAUCUGCCUUGUUGUAUAAAUUUUGCAUGUUUGAAAAAGCCUUUGCUAUUUUUAACAAAGAAUGACCAAAACCGUGUGUUUAAGCCCGGAGCAAGUUAUCUUAAGUUGUUGAUAAAUAAAGGUGAGUACUCUAAUUUUGUUUGGAAUAAAUAUGUUGAAUCUUCUCAUCUUUUCCGAAUCUUAUCGCUAUGUGUGAAUAGAUGUGUGAACCAUUUGUGCUUGCUUGAUGUUAUGACUUUAAAUUUGAAAACGAAGUUGUUGAACUAUGACAAGUUGCAAAUGCUAAAUCGAAGCUUUGGCUCUACAUCAUUGUUCAAAGUUUUUAAGUCAUGGAUUUUUGUUGUCCAAAAUUAUAAUUCCCGAAUGCUUCUUGUUUUUGGUAUAUCUCCAACGAAGAAAUUCUUAACUCAUUGCGGAAAGGUAAAAUCAACUUUCACUUUUGAUCCCGGCAUUGGUUCAUUUGUUCAAUUUUUGCAUAAGAUCUUAAGAAGACCUUUUGAACUUAUAAACCAAGGUGUCACUAAUCUAUUUAAUUUUUGUGUAGGUGACACUUCGAAGUGGUUCCCUCCUAAAGAGGGAGGGUAUAAACAUAAACUAUGUCCUACUCAAGGCAUGUCUGAUUUGCAGGUUUUUGGGAGCAACUAUGCCAAUUCCAUCGACAAAAGGGCUGGUGACGAUGUAAAAUUUUUUUCGAGAAAAUGGCCCGAUUUGGGGACAAAUUGCUUUAAAGAGGGAGGGAAUGAUGUGAGCACGCCCGGGGCAUCCUCGAGUGCAAACCAAGAUCUAAAUGAGCUGCCUAAAGGACCUAUAACUCAAGCUUAUGCUAAACAUUUCCUAGAAGCUAUUUUAGCUUCUAAUGCAAAACCUUGGUUCGAAACAAGGGCCAAAGCUCACAAAAUCAGCUUGAAGUAACUAUCCAAAGGACCCGUGCAUUGUUGGCAAGCUGAUCCUAGCUCAUUUCUAGCUCCUCGAGCACCGUCCAGCUCAACUCAGCUCAUUUGAGCUUGUUUCAGCUCGUUUGAGCUCAACCGAGCUUACUUUCAGCUCCUUCUUUCUUUCUUUCAAUAAACUAAGUCUUAAUUUAGUUUAUAAUUAAGUUUGCUACAGCUCAUGCCGAAACCCCUAGCUCAAUUUCAACUCAUUAAGUGUUUUGACUAUUUUUGAGCUAGCUGAAUUUAUUAUAAGUGACUUAUAAUUAUUGUGUUCAAAUUUAGUUAGUGAUAUUAAGUUAUUUAGUUAUUAUUUUAAAUUAUAAUUAUAUGAAUAGUUGUGUGUUAUUUAAUUAUGUUAUUUACUUUUGUAGGUUAGCCGAAUUUGGAAGAGACAUUCAUGGCAUUUAAUGCAAGGUCAUGGGAAAGUUAAUUGAACGGGAGGAUACAUGCAUGGACCGGUUCAAUGUUUGGAGGACAUACAUUCAUGUACAUGGAAGGUUAAUGCAUAUUGAAAGGUGCAUCUCCCUUGGACGGCACACAUGCAUGAAUGGGGGGUAAUCAAUGCAAGUGCAUGUAUGGCUAGGUUCAAGGCCCCUUCCAAGUUCCAUGUACAAUCGAUGCAUGUGGGAGGACCCUUGGAGUUUCCUAAGCACCUAUUCGGCCAAGAGACACCCUUUGGGAGUUUCAUGCAACCCAUGGCCGAACCUAGACAAUCCCAUUGGCUUCUAAAGUUUGCUCAUACAUGAAGCUGCCCAUUCAUCUCCCAUUCGGCCGAACAUGGACAAGGACACCAUUGGUCAUUUUUCUAGAAGGUUCAUGUCUUAAUUUAGGUUCAUUACUUAAUCAUUAAGUUCAUGAAUGGACUAUUCGGUUAGCAUAAGAAACUAGUAUAAAUAGUUUGUUGAUUUCAUUUGUAAAGGACUUUUGACUUUUGAUCAUUUGAAUGAACUUUGUUCAAAGAGUGAGUUUUCUCCUCUCUAAAUUCGUACGAGUUUCGAUCUGACUUAUCUAGCGUGCUAGUGGCGUCUAUUGUUCUCUUUUGAACUUAUCACCUUGCUUUGGUGUGGCGUUCAACCUUCUACAAUUCCGCAAUCCCACCUUGAACCGAAUAGAAAUCGGGGUGACACUUUUAGUGUUGAAUCGUUUCUGGCGUUUAAGCUCAUUUAUCCAUUCCACCGACUAUCCUAGAUUUUACCCAACUAUAAUAUCUUUUUACAAAACCGAGCCUUCAUUUAUCAACUUCCAUUUUUCUUAUUUUUAUCCUUAAAUCGAGCCUACUACCCUUAUAAAUUUACCAUCACCUUAGCCAACCUUUAAAACCAUUUGAAAGCUUCCGCAUCUUUAGCCUUAUUUCAUCCUAUUUUCGAUAACUCAACUAUUCCUCGUCGACGAUCGGGCAAUUACGUGAAACGACUCAAUUAAUCCGGGCCGGAUCACAUCAGCUGCUAACUACAUUCGAACAACUCCCACUAUCAAUAAUAAGUGAACAUAAGUUACCUUUUAUAAAACACUUAGAAUGGAAAAUAUUGGUCCUUUGGUUAUCACAAUCGUCUCCCGUUUGGAUGUUAAGGGUGCGGCAGACUAUCAUCUUUUUUUUUCUCUUUUUUUUUGAAAUACCUGUAAAACAAAUACUCAACACUCAAAAGAAAAAUUAGCAAACGUCACCGUUAGUCACUCAAAAAGAAAAAUCAAUUUCUCAAUGAGGUAGAAUUCAGUCUUGUGAGUUCUUUAGUAGAGUCUAUAUCAACCAAUUAGAAAGUGUAUGAACCGAAACUACCAAAGAGUCCUAAUUUGCACUAAGAUGCCAAAAACUGACGAGACACCAAUUAAUUUGUGUUGCACCGAGGAAGAAUUGUGCACACCUUAAAAUCCUACUAACACAAGAAACAAGAAGGUGUUAGAUAGUGUAAAGGAAGAAUAAAGGCAAACAAAUGAAAAAUGACAGCUAAGAUUCAAUAAAAAUUGCUGAAAUCGAAAAACUCGAAAAACUACGAAGUAACUUGAUAACUUCGUUUGAGGUGUUCCCAAUCUCCAAAAAUCACGAAAUUAAAUAUGGAAUUUCAUUAAAUAUUGAAUUUUUUAUCUGGAAAGUUUGGGCACCAAACUCAACCCGCUGAAUCUUUUUUAAAAUUUUUAUUGGAUUUCGUAUUUUUCAAUUUUUUUACUUUUUCGACUGAAUUUUUUGCGGUAAAUAUUUUUUUAUAUUCAAUAACAGUGCCAAAAAUAUGUAUGUAAAAUUUCAUAUCAAUCGGACAACGUUUACCAACUCAAAUGAAUUUUUUUCGAAAAAUUUUUCUAGGUAAAACUGCUGUUUGUAGUUUAAAAAAUAGAGAUCAGUUUAGCAAUCAACCAAGAACACCCAAAACGCCCAAAAUCUGAUACCAAAUGAUAGAGGGUUGUGCACGGACCAAGAUCGAGUUGUCAAGUCACGGGAAACUCCUACGAAAACUCUAAACGUUUGGAUCUGAAACGAAACAGCAAAACUUAAUUAGAAUCAAUUAGAUCUGGAAACUAAAAAUCCCCAAAUCAAUAAAGAACAGCCCAGAAUCAAAACACUUAUAAAUAGAUGUUCUUGGAAGCCAAAAACAUGAAAUUAAGCCCCAAGAUUAACUUCUAAUCAGCCGAAUCUAUCAAAGAACAGAAAAGAGCAAAUAAAUUAAAACAGAUUACGAAAUCAAUUGAAACUAAUUCUAGGGAUUGGACGGCAAGAAAAGAGGGGUUUUUGUGAAAUCAAAAACAUUUCUUUAUGUCCAAGGAAGGGUCGAAUCAGAUCUUGGAGUUUUGGAAAGGCUGAAACGCAACAAGAACAGCAAACAAAUUAGCUAAUAAAAAUCGACACAAGCAGAAAUUUAAAAGAAAUCGAACAGCAAGAAGGUAAAGAUAAAGUCCUAAUAAGCCUAGAAAUCGAUAAAGAUUUCACAACUCCCUUCAAACGGCUCUAAUCUCCCCUCCAACGAAGAACAAUGGCAAGAAGAAGGCUGAAGAUGGCUCCGGCAAUCAAAAAGAUUGUUUGAUACGGAGGCACACGUGGACCAAGAUCGAGUUGCCAAGUCACGAGAAAUUCCUACGAAAGCUCUAAACGAACAGAUCUGAAAUCAAACAAAGAACGAGAUUAAAUCUGGAAAAUUAAAAUCUGGAAUAAGAACCCUAAAAAUCAGCAAGAUCUAAUCAAGGAACGAAACACUUAUAAAAGAGGUUUCUUGAAACCAAGAACACGAAAUUGAUUCCCAAGAAUGAACUCCCACAAGCCGAAUCUGUCAAAGAACACCAAAUCAGCAAGCAAAUUAGAUCGACUAGAAUUUCUUGAAACAAAUUAGGGUUUAUGCGUCAAUGAGAAAGAAAGAAAUUGAAGGCAUAAAACGGCUAUUGAGGCUGAGAAAGCGAGGGCGAUCUGCUCAAUUGACCACCACGAAAGUUUCCCCUAAGUUUCCACAACCAAAUUCACCCAAGAAGAAUAAGUGUGCAUUCGGCAAGAACCCUAGAAUUUGAGGAUUUAGGGCUGAUUGUCGAACUCCAGCAAAAAGUAAAAUUGAUCAAUUCUUUAAGAUAAACGAGGGCUGGAAACACAAAUAAUACAGCAAAUAGAUUAGAAUUAAGAUUCGGCACAAGUAGAAUUAAAUAAAAGAAAUUGAACAGCAAAAAUUAAAGGAUAAGUCCUAAAGAUCCUUGAAAUCCCGAAAGAUUUCACAAAUCUCUUCAAACGGCUCUAAUCUCCCCUCCAAAGAAUAUCGAUGGCAAGAAGAAGGUUGAAGAUGGCUCCCACAAUCAAAAGAUUGUUAAAACAACUUCUAAAGAAAACUCAAGAGAGAAUUCUUGGAGAAAACCCCAAAGAAAAUUCUGCACUCAACAAAUCUAAAAUUUGAUAGAAAAAAAUAAUAAUAAGAUGUGUACAAAGGGUGGCUGGCCAAUGCUUAUAUAGGCCUCCAACAAAUCCUAAUCUAAUUAGAAAACUUAAAAAAUUUAAACUUAAUUAAAAAAAACAAAGGAAAAUUCGGCCAUGCAUCCUAUUGGGCUGUUUUGGGCCGAAUUUAACAUGUGAUAUUCCUAAAACUUAAAAAUUAACUUAAACAACUAAAAUGUUUACAAAUUGGGCCCUUUGACAUUUUGGCCUGAUUUUCAACUAAAUAUGUAUGGAUUUCUUGAUUGGGCUGGGAAUUUGCUUAUUGGGCCUCGCCUUUAAGAAUUUGGGCUUGUGAUCCAUCUCCUACCGAAAUUGGAUUGUUGACGCUCGUAAUGGAGAUCCAACGCGCUUUGGCUGCAAGAUUCAGUUUCUUGGACCAAGAUUUCAAAGAUUUGAAAUCUUGAUUUUCUUGAUUCUUGAAAUCGCUCCGAACAGCAAAAUUGGGCCAAGAUUCGAUUUCUUGAUUUUCUUGAAAACAAGAAAGUGAAUCUUGAUUUUCUUGAUUUGAGCCCAUCACCUUCUUAAGCUUGGGUUGGGCCUUUGUGACUCGUAUCAUUGUUAAAACAACUUCUAAAGAAAACUCAAGAGAAAAUUCUUAGAGAACUCAGAGAAUUUUCACUCAAAGCAAAUCUGAAAAUUUUAAUAUAUUUGAGAAGUAUAAUGUGUAUAAGGGUGGCUGGCCAAGCCAUACUUAUAGGCCUUCUAACUAUUUUCCUAGUCCUAAUAGGAAAACUAAAAAAAGAACCUAAUUUUUUUUUUUCCUUUCAAGGGAAUUUCGUCCAAGGCCUUUAAUGGGCCUUUUUGGGCUGAAUUUUUACAUAGAAAUUUAUUUAUAAAGUCUAAAAAUUAAAACUAAGUAUUUAAAGAAUUAAAAUUUUACAAAUUGGGCCACUUUGACAAUUUGGCUUGAUUUUCAACUAAGUGAUACGAGUCACAAAGGCCCAACCCAAGCUUAAGAAGGUGAUGGGCUCAAAUCAAGAAAAUCAAGAUUCACUUUCUUGUUUUCAAGAAAAUCAAGAAAUCGAUCUUGGCCCAAUUUUGCUGUUCGGAGCAAUUUCAAGAAUCAAGAAAAUCAAGAUUUCAAAUCUUGGAAAUCUUGGUCCAAGAAACCGAAUCUUGCAGCCAAAGCGCGUUGGAUCUCCAUUACGAGCGUCAACGACCCAAUUUCGGUAGGAGAUGGAUCACAAGCCCAAAUUCUUAAAGGCGAGGCCCAAUAAGCAAAUUCCCAGCCCAAUCAAGAAAUCCAUACAUAUUUAGUUGAAAAUCAGGCCAAAAUGUCAAAGGGCCCAAUUUGUAAACAUUUUAGUUGUUUAAGUUAAUUUUUAAGUUUUAGGAAUAUCACAUGUUAAAUUCGGCCCAAAACAGCCCAAUAGGAUGCAUGGCCGAAUUUUCCUUUGUUUUUUUUUUUAAUUAAGUUUAAAUUUUUUAAGUUUUCUAAUUAGAUUAGGAUUUGUUGGAGGCCUAUAUAAGCAUUGGCCAGCCACCCUUUGUACACAUCUUAUUAUUAUUUUUUUCUAUCAAAUUUCAGAUUUGUUGAGUGCAGAAUUUUCUUUGGGGUUUUCUCCAAGAAUUCUCUAUUGAGUUUUCUUUAGAAGUUGUUUUAACAAUCUUUUGAUUGUGGGAGCCAUCUUCAACCUUCUUCUUGCCAUCGAUAUUCUUUGGAGGGGAUAUUAGAGCCGUUUGAAGAGAUUUGUGAAAUCUUUCGGGAUUUCAAGGAUCUUUAGGGCUUAUCCUUUAAUUCUUGCUGUUUUUGAUUUCUUUCUUUACUUUUCUUUGCUUAUACUUGUGCCGAUUUCUCAUCUAAUAUUUUGCUGUUCUUGUUUGUUUUCCAGCAUUGAUUAAACUCAAGAUCUCAUCGUUUAAGUUGUUCUCCUAUUGGCAGCACCCAUUCGAACCCAAAAAUCCCCAAUUCCUAGGGUUUGGCCGAUUGGAUUUCUUUCAAUUUGGGAAUCAAUUGAUUGCUGGAAAUUGGGCAUUCUUGGCCGAAUCAAUUUGUUGACCGAUUCGCAAUCUUUCUAUACUUCCAAUUUCGUUUGAUUAAUCUAUUCUAUUUCUUUGUUUCUUGCUGCUCCUUUAAUUGAAUUUGGGGAUUUAAUUUCAGGUCCGAUUAGUUUAAUCUUGUUAUUUGUUUUAAUUUUCAGAUCUGUUCGUUUAGAGCUUUCGUAGGAGUUUCCCGUGACUUGGCAACUCGAUCUUGGUCCGCGCACAAUCCUCUAUCAUUUGGUAUCAGAUUUUGGGCGUUUUGGGUGUUCUUGGUUGAUUUCUAAACUGAUCUCUAUUUUUUAGAGCACAAACAGCAGUUUUACCCAGAAAAAUUGUUCAAAAAAAUUCAUUUGAGUGGGUAAACGUUGUCCGAUUGAUCUGAAAUUUUACAUACAUGUUUUUGGCACUGUGAUUUAUUAUAGAAAAAUUAUUCCCGCAAAAAAAUCAGUCAAAAAAGUCAAAAAAAUCAAAAAAGACGAAAUUCAAUAAAAAUUUAAAAAAAGAUUCAGGAGGUUGAAUUUGGUGCCCAAAAUUUCUAGAUCAAAAAUUAAAUAUUUAAGGACAUUCAAAAUUUAAUUUCGUGAUUUUUAGAGAUCGGGAACACCUCGAACGAAGUUGUCAAGUUACUCCGCAGUUUUUCGGGUUUUCUGUUUUCAGCAAUUUUUAUUGAUUCUUAGCUGUAGGUUUUCAUUUGUUUGCUUUUAUUCUUCCGUUAUGUUAUCUAACACCUUCUUGUUUCUUGUGUUAGUAGGAUUUACACGUGUGCACAACUCCUUCCUCGGUGCAACACGAAUCACUUGGUGUCUCGUCAGUUUUUAGCAUCCUAGUGC